UUUUUUUUUUUUUUUAUGUAUAGAAAUAAGGUAAGUUUAUUUAGGAGCUUUUAUUAAUUUAUUUUGUUUAUAGAAACAAAGUGAGUUGUAUUUAAGAGUUUUUAUUUAUUUAUUUUAUGUAUAAAAAUAAGGUAAUUUGUAUUUGGGAGUGUUGGGUUAUUUUUGAGAAUUUUAUAAGGUCUAAGAAGUUUAAUAGAUAUAUAAGCUAGAUUUAAAAAAUUAUUUCAAACCCAUUAAUUUAAACAAAUUUUGUCACAUUUUAAAAUUAGUUCAAACCAUGAGAUAGCAGAAUGUAUGUUUUGAAACUCCGGGGGAGCUUUUUUAUAGGUUUGCUUAACUGCAGGGCAUUCCUGUAUUUUAACCAAAAAUAAUUGUUCAGUGGCUGCUGGAGUUUUUAGCUUACAAGUAUGGCUUCUAUACUAACUCCUCGAUGUUUCUCACACAGACUCUCUCCUUCUUUUCCCCGCUUCCAUCUUCCGCCAUCAUCCCAUCCUUCUCGGCGCUGUCCGUCUCUCAUCAGAAUGGAGGCAUCCUCCAACGGUGCUUCUGAUGCCAAGGAGACCGCCGCUCCGGCGGACCCAAGCAGUGACUCCACCAACGCCGCCGCCAGCAAUUCAGAGUCGGAAGACCCUUUGAUUCAGUACGUGGUUCUCCGGAGGGACUUAAUUGACACUUGGCCUUUAGGUAGUGUGGUUACACAGGGAUGCCAUGCCUCCGUCGCCGCGAUUUGGUCCUUCAAAGACGACCCUCAUACUCUCAACUACUGUAACCCCUCUAAUCUCCACGCUAUGCGCAAGGCUAGUGGCUUCCUCUUUUAUUUUAUUUAAAUAUUAAUCUUUUUUUUCUGGAAAUUAUUGGAGCGGGUUUUUCGUUUAAUUAGCCGAAUUCUUAUAGUAUUGCUGAGCAAAGAGCAUUAUUAGGCAAAGAGCAUCUAAGAUCUCAUAUUGUUAGGGGAAUCUACCAAAAUUGCACUAUUCUGAGCUAGAAUGUGGUGGAGUCUGGUUCGACUCAGUGUGGUUGAAGUAGGCCUGUUACCUUUUCUUGAUAGGUGAUGGGAAGUAUGAUUGUUUAGAAAAUUAGAAUGCAACAUAAAGAAUACUAAUGGUGGCAUUCCUCUGUUGAAUAGUCCGCUCAUAGGCAAGGCAAAGAUAUGUAAAUCCCUUUUUUGUCUGCUCUAUUAUUUGGAUGCAGGUUACUCUUGAAGUGAAGGGUGAAGCGCAGAUUGUAAAUUUGUCGGAGAAAUUAAAUUCUAGUGGUAUUGAUCAUAAGCUGUGGAUUGAACAACCUGAGAAUAUUCCAACUUGUUUUGCUACAAAGCCAUAUCCUAAAUCUAUUGUAUCGUCAUUUUUCAAAAAGGUGAAGCUGUGUAAGUGAUGAUAUUCUGGUGCCACUUGGAUGAUUCUUAAUGCAAAUGAAUCUUUUGCCUUUCCUGUGGGUUAUAAUAUGGAUUAACCUGAUGCGCUCUAUCUGCGUAUACUGUUAUUUUAGUUGAUGAAUAUUUAAUGCCAAUGUUUGCACUGCUGAUAUACUUUUCCAAAGAACUACUUUUACAUCAUCUGGCCUACAAUGGAUUAUUUGUUUUUAUUACGUGAUUGAUAUUUAACUUGAAUUUUGUUGGUUAUUGGUGACAGCAGUUUCUGUUAACGAUUGUCUAGUCUUUCAAAUCUAGUGCUGAAGAACUUUUCACUCUCUAGAAAUUCCACUUGCUUAGGAGUUCUUAUGCUUGAGGUUGUUUUGCUCUGCAUCAAUUUAGCCGUUAAGUUUUAUUCAUGUGUCUACCAUAUUAAUCUGUCCCUUGAUCUUCUUUUAUUCUCAAUCAAAGUUGACAUAGGUCCUAAAGAGUCCAAUUAUCUUUAAUUUUGUAACUAAGCUGUAGUGCUACAAACAAAUGCAACAAGAAUUGUUUUGGAAUUUGCUUCCCAAAAUAUAACCUUUGUACGUUGUGAACAAACAUCAUCCACACAACUAUGCAUUUGUGUUGUGUUGAAAUUUCAGUUGUAUGAACUCUUUGAACACGUCAAUGGUUUUUUUUUUAUUUUUUUAUUUUUAAACACACCAAUGUUAUUAGAACAGAUUAUCUGUCUCAACUUUCAACCAUUAUGUGAAAGUAUGCUUCGCAUGGCAUGUGCUGCACAUUUGUUCUAUGGCAUAACAAACUUUUGUUAGGUGAUGGUGCUUCCAUUUGUAAAGAGGUUCUUGAAGUUUUGACAUUUUCGAUUCAUUUCCGCAUAUGUAUUCUCUCAAUGGGAGUGGGAGGGACAAACAUAAAAAAAUUAACAUUAGUCUUUUUAAUUGACUAUUCAUACUGCUCAGAUAUUUGGUUGUUUUUAUGCUACUUUAGGUGUGUUCAGGUAGUUUUUGAUAAAUCGACUGCCCGUGGAUCACAUCUCUUCUUUUUGUUAUGUAUCAUGUUGAACACAGAAUCUUUUAAGACCUAAUUUUCAACUGAAAACAUAUCUAAAGGGUAUUUCUAGAUCACCAGUACUCAGAUACAUUUUGUUUGUGUUUUGGUGUAAUUAAUAGUUGUGAUAGAGCACAAACAAAUAGAUGCACUGGAAAAUGAUUGUUUAGGUUGUGAUCAAUAUCUGGUUUUUAGGAGGUCUUCGGUGGUUUAUUCCUUUAUUUGGCAAAUCUUGAUAUGAGAAAUAGCCAUGUGAAACUAAUUCCAAACUCCUGAAAAAAUUUUCAUGUAAGAUUUAUACUUUUGCUACUUAGCUCAUAGCUGUCUUAUGAAUAACAUACUCAUUGGAAAAGGAAGACAACUUAUAAGAUUGGACUAUCAAAAUCAGGAAUUUAAGAUGGAUGGGAGCUUGUAGCAUAGUUUUUCAUGAUGAUUGUGGAAGUCAUAUUCAUUGAAAGAGUUUUGUUGGUGGCUGAGAAAUAGCAGUAUGACUUAUGCUGAACUAUUGAAUGCUAGAAAAUUUAACCUUUAGCCUGGAAGAUGGAGAUUAUGAAUUUUAUAAAUAGUCUGCUUGACCAGCAUACGGCACUAACUUUUUGAGGAAAUGCUAAAUACAUUUUAGUUUUACAUUGGAUGUUGCUGGUCACUUCCUCAAUUAGAAUUUUUCGUGCGGCAUCUAAUUUUUGUGAAGAAGGUAUAAUAGCAAAUGUGGGACACAGUUUAGAUUUUGUUCUGCUUUUCCUAGAUAAUAUUUCUGCAUUGACAGAAAACUUUAAGUAGAUAGGAUAGGAUGUUAGAGGUUUGCUUACUGACCAUCCUCUUGACCUGCCCUGUGCCCCCCUCUCAGGCAUACCUAUCCAAAUAAAAGGAAGAAAGUGCCUUACAUGGACAUAAACACUAUAAAUUAUUGUACCUUUUGCACUGUUCACAAACAUUGAAUAGGCCUUGAAAUUCAUGCCUUCAAUGAGGCUGAGACGCAAUUAAAAGCAAAAUGCAAAUAGAAACAGAGCACAAUCAAUAGAAAUAGUUAUUGUUAGGAAUAGCAGCCAGCCAGAUUAAAUCUGGAACUUACGGGUAUUUGAACUUAUUAAAGUCCGAUUAAGGCGACUGAUGGAGAAUUUGUUAGGGUUUGGUAUUUCAUGGAGGUUACCAGCGGGUAACCCGAUAGGAGUUGGUAAGAAAACCCCAAAUACCCACUACUUGAUGUGUGGGUGAAAUUGUUAUAUGAUAUAAUUUAGUUAACAAAAAUCUAAAUGUUGAAAUUUUCCUUAAAUCAAUUUGAAACUUUCAAAAUUUUAUCAAUUGUAAACCGUUAUUGGCUUCCAAUGCUUGAAAGCUCAAAACUUACACAUUUGGCUUUCUAGUAAAUUAGUUUAACAUCAUUAAUUUAAAGGCUUUCUUGGAUAUUGAAAUCUAUAAAUAAGACUCUAUAUAUUGUCUAGCAUAAUAGUACUGAGACUCUUGAUUGACACCCACUUAAGCAAAAACUUUUGCAUUUGGUUGAGUUUUCAUUGGAUUGAUGGUUAACAAAUAACCCAUGGGUACCCGAAGCAAUGUGGCUCUGGGUUUGGUAUAUACAUUGUUUUUUUUUGAAACACUUGACUGGUACAGGCUUGAUAAACACGUCAAAAUCGGUCAGGUAAUGGGUUUGGUAUGGUCAAUUUAGAUGGGUACCCUACUCGUUGCCAUAUCUGGUUGUAGUCAUAGCUACUUCAUGAAUUAACUGAUAACAGAAUUUAUCUUGUUCUGUGAAGACAUUAUUCCGCUGCACUUAUCCACUGUGCUAUCAUAUAACCCAUAUCCAAUCUUAUGUUGUUUCAUUUCCUAUUUGUUGAAAUUUGUGAGCAUCUGGUUGAGUUCCCUUUGCUUUAUUUUCAACUCCAUGCUUUUAUGUCAAUAUGUAGAGAAAACCAUAUUUUGCGGAAUGAAAAGUGUAAUCUUGCAGUAUGUAAGUUCAUUCUGCAACGAUUAACUGAACUUUAUUUGAUCAACAUGAAAGAUUUCCUGUUCUAAAUUGCUAGUUUUGAUGAAAUUAUGGGCUUCCUUAAUCCAAUUGCUUCAGAGAAAAUGUUUUAUUUUUUUUUUAAUGAAUUUUAAGUACUACAUACAAGUUGGCUGCUUUCUAAGCAGCUCCUCCAAACUAGGUCCAAUGGAAUUAUUAGAUGCAUGACCACAUUUAUUUACUGCAAUUGUUUAUUAGUGUACUGGAUUUACUCCAGAGUACAUGCAGCCUUUCUUUUGCUUCCUUAACAGUAGAACUGCUUGAACAAUAUGCCUUUCUUAUUGCUUGUGUGCCUUUCCUUCCAUUUCGGAUUUGAUUAUUAGAUCGAUGUAUUCUCUUUCGAGUACCCAACGAAACCAAAUGAGACCCCUCAAAAGGAUCUUUUUCAAAAUCCAGUGCAGGACUAAGUUCCCAUAUUGGAACAUGGAAUUUGUGAAGACAAGUUGUCUGUUUUUAAUGUUAAACCAAAUGAAUUAUUAGCAAAAUGUUGAAGGAAAACUGGAUGUGUAUAAAGUCUGUUUUUUUUCCUGGGUUGAAUUGGAAACUUGUAUGGGCAUGGAAUGAGAUACUCUUGCUGAUAAUGAGAGGUUAAAUGAACUUAACAUUCCCAUGACAUGAAACUUUGUAAACAGAGAAGGAUACAAUUGGAUCAUGAGUCUCACAAGUUCAUUUUAGUCCAAUUGAAAAUAGCCAAUUUUUUUACACUCAAACCCUUUCGCUUACACCAUGUCUAAAUUCAUCUACAUCAUUCUUCUACUUAUUUACAGCUCAAGGCAAGCUGGUUUGAACUGGAACUUGCGAGGCCCCUAAUCAGUUACGGAUCAUGGGCCUCACAAGUUCAUUUUGAGGGCAAAAUAGCCAAUUUCUUUUUACACCGCAAUUUUACUUGUCUACACCAUGCCUAAAUUCAUUUAUACCAUUCUUCUACUUAUUUACAUCUCAGGGCAAAUUGGUUUGAAUUGGAACUUGUGAGGCCCGUAAUCCGUAUCUUUUACAUUUGAACUGGAACACGUCUAACCGGUUUACUUCGAAGUUUUGUUUGUAAACAUUUGAUAAUCACAAUUAGUAUGGAAGUUACAAAUUACUCGGUAAUGGAAACGAUUUUUGACGAAAGCCUAUUGCAUGUAUGGUUUGACAAAUUCUAGGAAUAUGUGAUCUCCCUUGGUCUCUUUCAUUCUUGCGUGUUCUUCAAAAUGACCUGCAAAGUGCAUGGAUCAUGUCUGAUAUUCGAUUGAUCUCUCUGUCAUUCUAGUAUGUUCUUCACAUGGCCCCCAAAGUGCAUGGAUGAUGGCUGAUAAUUGAUUCAUUUGGGAAUCAAAAAGAGAAAUUUCCAACAUUUCCAACAGCUGACGAGCUUGUCUCAUUUUGAUUUCUAGAGAUGAACUUAUCAACUGUUCAUGCUGUUGUUUCAUUUCAAAAGAUGAACAAAGCGUUUUAGUUCCUAUGUUUAGAUGAUCAGCACAUACUGUUAUCCAUCAUAUCAACGGAAUUACCAUGACUGGCAAUGUUUAGUUGCAUUUUCAAACUUGUUACCUCCUUCACCAUUGUUCCUAGUCAAUUGCCUUGACAGCGUCUCGUGUGGGCAUGCAACUUUGCUUGUGCUGAGCGACGGGUUUGGUUCAGAGAACAGGUCGAGGUUGUAAGCUCUUUUUAUGGGAGAGGAGGUUUUGGAUGUCGGGUUGGAGGAUUUCAGGAUUGGAUGACGGGGCCGUUGAGAUAUGCAAAAGGGAGUAGAUUUCAUGUUGCUACUGGAAGGAAAGGGAUGGUGGUGGGCAUUGGAAAAACUUAUAUCUAGUUCAAAACAAGAAAACAUAAAGUUUAUAAAGUUAAAUAUAAAUUAGGGUGCAUUUCAUUUUAGGGUAGAGCCAUAUGAUUUCGACCAAGUUAUUUAGGAUGCAAUUAUGCCGGAUUUUAAAGUUGUUAGACAACGCAAAAUUUCGAAUGCUGAAUGGUCAAAUUCGGCAUUCGUCAAAAUCAACUACUUUUUUUUUUUUUUGUGGAAGGAAAUCAAAUACCCCUUUUUUUUUCUUUUUUUUUUUUAAAAAGUUUGGCAUUUCGAAAGUUUAGCACCAAAAAGUCAUUUACUGGAGUUGAAAAAAGACAAGUGGCUCCUGGGAUUGGGUUCUUGGGUGGUAGUAUCCCACUUAGCAGCAGGGUUCCCCCUUUUAGGCUAGUUAUCCCACAUCGAUUCUGGGGUGGGGUUUGAUUGGAUAGUUAAGUUCCUGGGUUGACUCUAAGAGUUAGCCGGCUUUUGGAGUUCAAUUUGGGAUUAGGUUUAAUUCAUUCAACGAAAAGUCAUUUACUGGAGUUGAAAAAAAAAAAAGAAAGUUUAGCACCAAAGAUAAUUUGAGCUCCUUGCGUGACACUAUGUUGGGUUUUCGUCCAAUGAUGAAUUUGAACAUUUCGGCACCCAAUAAAAGAUCCCUUAAAUUUAGAAAGCUCUUUCCCCUGCUAUUUUCAAUUUAUUUUUGCCUUCCUCAUUCCUUUUCAUUUUAUCAUUUCUUUCUUCUUCUUUUUCACUCGCAGUCUUGACUCUUCCUUUGUUUCCUCACCACUACCAAAUGCCCAAAGUACAACAAGAUGCUAAAUAUAAAAUUCGUUCAAAUUAUCCAUUACAAUAGAACAUGACUCCAAAAUUAAAAUGUCUAGAGAUGCUAAGCCACGUUAUAAGUUUUCAUUUGGCUAAAAGAAAUCGAGGAUUGAACAGAUUAUAAGCUCAUCAUUGUUUUUGCUGAUAUGAAAUAAUAAAUCAAGAGAAAUAUAGCAUUAAUUGCCACAUGAGCCACCCCACAUAGCGUCGAUCCGUAAGGUUGCUUCUUUAGGUUUGAUAUUUUGUGUUUGUCCUCGACAUAAAUUUCUGAUCUUUGUAAUUAUUUUGAGCUGAUCAUGAAAAAGUUGACAGUUGGAAAGCUAACGAAGGUUUAGAACAUAUUCCUUUUUGAAAAGCUGCACUUGAAAUAUGCCCCGCAAAAUGAAUCUUUUUCCAGCUCAAGAUAAGUCAAAAGCUAAAGAAAAAACAUAAAAAGGCCAACAAUAUGUUGAAACUUAUUUUAUAAUUUAUAGAAAAAAAAAAAAAAACCAGUUUUAGCUCACAUUCACAUGUUGCACUGCUGAGUUGACGUUCUGAUUUCGAGCUCAUUAAUAUGUUGUUCCAAUCACAAUACCUAAACUCCACAAGAAAAAGAAGUGCAGCAAUUAUUUUUAACCAUCAAGACAUAGGAAGGAGUCUUUCACAGUUUCAUUUUCCUAUACUUUCUCAUAAUCUUGAUGUCAAUAAGAGAUACACAUCUUGAAUACUCAUUCAAUCCAUAUAGUUGCCUGUCGAAGGAACUUUGUAUUCUUUUUCUUAAUUGUAUAUGCAUUAUGAUCCACUUCCGUGGGUCUUUCGACAAGAAAGGUGUAUAAGAAUAAUUCCAUUACAUGCUUUGUAAAUUCGUACUACAGUCACGAUGCACUGCGUUACUUAUUUGAGUGGGAUUUAUAGGAGCAACUGUAAAUUCGUACUCGAUUUGGGGGGGAAGGGUUUGGAUAGAUAAGUCCUCGCAAGACUUUAAAAAUUGCCGAUUUUUGAAGUUACUGUGGGGAUUAGAUUUAUUUACGUAAAUUCUUAUUUCUGUAAAAAAAAUGUAAGAAAAAAACUGUAAAUUCGUACUAAAGUCAUGAUGCACUUCCGUUCCGUGGGUCUUUUGACAAGAAGGUUGUAUAAGAAUGACUCCACUACAUGCUUUGUAAAUUCGUACUAAAGUCAUGAUGCACUGCGUUACUUAUUUGAAUGGGAUUUAUAGGAGCAAUUUCAGGGUGAGAAAGGAUGAGUUGGUGGGAAGAGGUCAUCUAUGGCGGAGAAGGAAAAAUGGAACGAAAAAGGAGCAAAAGAAGCGGGAAAAAAAUAUCAAAAACUGAAAAGAAACAAUGGGAGAAAAAAUUGGAAAAAAAGACAAUUUUCGGAUUUUAGGGAGUUAACUGACUGUUAGAAGAAAUUUGAAGGAUAAAGUGCUUAUUAUCGAUGAAAUUCAACUUUUAAGUAUUAAAGGUUGCUUUUAAACUCUAAUCAAAAAGUAUACUAAAAAACUUUCAAUUCAUUGUUUCACUUCAACUUCAAUUCAAGGAUUUGAAGUAAAUUUAUUCACUUUAAUACUAAAAACUUGAAUAAAGUUGAAAUAUUUGUUUUAAAAAAAGUAAAUUCUAACUAAACUUUCCAAUUGUUAUUAGUUCAGUCAAUUUCUUUUUGAAUAGUCAUCGGAUCGAAAACAUGACCGGUCCACCAUUUGACCGGUCAGUCCGGUCGAAUUUUCACAACUUUCUUUAAAGCAGACUGAGUUGGUCGCCGGUCAUAUUAGAGACGAGCCUUUCCAGAUAAAUCUUAUUCUUUAGUGCAGCAACUGUUGCAUAUUUUAAUUAUCCAGUGUACUCCAGCUAAUUUUGUUCCUUAAUCUCUCUCUUUAGUCACAUGUCAUUACGCGACAUUGUUGACUUUCCCGUGUAUUCUUUGCAGUUUGCGCAGAACAAGAAUCAAACGAUCUGAUUCUCUGGAUUACAGGAAUUUCAACGCAUGCUUUUUCCGCGACCCUUCUGGUUCACUAAGCAAAGACAAAAUAAAAGUUUGGCAAAUGAAUAUUGAAAUUGAAACAGAUCAUAAGCAAAUCUUUUAAAACAUUAGUCAAAAUUAGACCAACCCUUUCAGACCUCUUUUCUCUCCUAACAUGUACAUUCAUGUCCCACCAUCCCGAACCUACCCCUACUUAUAACUUCUUCCUCUUUGGCUAAAACACCCCCUCAACUACCCAGAAGUUACAAAAAGAUCCCUCCUAACUUUCCCUUUUCUCCUUUUGCUUCAUCAGUUCUUUAAUCUCUCUGUUCUUUAUAUCCAGUUGACUCGAAUACCACUAAAGUGCCGCCACUUCCAGCACUAGUGGUACUAUUCUCCUGCAUCGCGCCUUGCGUAUGACGAUGCUCCCCUUCAUAAGUCACAAUCAGCAUCGUUGGAUCAUCAGUCGCCCUCUCCACAUGCUUUCUUGCUGGGCAUCCUCUCACAGUACUACACUUGUAAUAACCCCUGAGAAAUGAAUCAAAAAACUUAAUCAGAUCUAGCCAAAAAAAUAAAAAAUAUCAAAUUCAUCAAUGUUAGAAAGUCCGACAGCCCAGGGUGAUUAUGCAUGAUAAUUACCGUGGGAAGGGAGAGCCCUUGAUCGGCUUCUGACCGUACUUUCUCCACGAGUACUCGUCAGGUGGAAUAUCGGCGAUUUUUGAACUAAUCGCCGGGACUCUGACAAUCGUCUUAACCCUGGAUUUCCUGUAACCGAAAAUUAAGAAAAAAUCAGUCUUGUAAUCGUGCGCCCCUAACAAGUAUCAUAUGCUAACAUGCACCAAAUGGAGACACAAGAAUUUCAUUAUCGUGCCCCGUUUAAUAAGUACGAAUACUAUUGUACGCCGAGGAAAUUAGUGGCUGCGGUCAAUCAAGAUGGGAGUUACGUCUAAAAUACGGCAUCUAUGACUGGUUGGACCUAUCAAGGAACGUCACCAUCACGCGCUUUUAUUAAGUCAAUAAAUCAACAGUUCUCUAAUUUUUUAAGAUUUUCUUUUUUCCCUUGCUUGAAAAAUACACCAAAAAAGGAAUAGGUCAACAAUAUAUUCCUUUUUUUUUUUUCAAGAAACAUGUAUAGAUUUUCUUCUUUCCAUAUCUAGUUACCAAGAUACCAGUUUUUCCUUACUUUUGCCUAUAAAAUGUCGUUUUUUUUCCUUUUGACCGCCAAAAAAAAGGUACAAAAUUUUUAGAUUCUAGUUAAAAGAAAAGAAAAUUUUAUAUUAAAAAAAUCAAAUUAUUCCUAACAUGCGCCGGCAAGAAGGAACUUACUAACGUCCACCUUGUAAAGCAAACAGAUUUAUUGAAGAAAUAGAGGAGGCAUCAUAGGUGUACCUUUUCUUGCAAUGACAUCUGCCGGAACCGGAGGUCUUGCCGGAGGCGCUGUCGGAGUGGCGAUCAUGUUCACGGCACCUUUUGCCAGCGAUAGGCGGCUUUCCGGCAGAAAGUGCUGGAGCAGGAGCUAAGAACAUGGACGAAGAACCUUGUUUACCGUUCGACACGCUUCCCUCGCCGGUGAUGGACGACAUGAACGAGGACGAGUUCACUGACGUCGACAUCGGCGGCGAUAUGCUAAAACUGUCCUUAGCAACCACCUCACAGUUCGUCGCUUUCGGGUCGACUUGAUUCGAAAUCGGAGCCACCAAGUUUGGCUUGGUAAAAUCAAGAGUCAACAUCUGUUGUGGCUGAAGAGUCAACCCCAGAGAUGGAACCCCCGCCGGCGCCGGUUCCGGUGCUAGAACCGGAGCCGGAGAGAGAUUCAAGUCCUGGCAAGGAUGAAACUGAGAGGAAGUAGAAGUAGAAGUAGAAGGCACCGGAGAGGACUGAAAACCCAAAUUCUGCGGUUUAUUAACCGGUCCACGCCUGAACCGGGCGUGACCAGUCCGAUUCAGACUUGACAUGGCUCUAUUAAACUUGGAGACGGUAGAGUCGGCCAGCUCUCUGCAGUCCAUUUGUUGCUGAUGUGAAACAAGUCGGAUCAAUUGCUCCAUGGAUUUUAACCCGGCCGACGCUGCUUCUUGCAGAGCAACUUGUUCGUUAAUUUUUGAAAUUCCUAUAAAAUCUAAAGCCAUUUCUCAAAAAUUGCUUUACACCCAAAAAAUUGAAAAAAGAUUAAUUUGAAGGCAUAGCAGAAAUGAAGUGGAAGCAGGGGGAGGAGGAGGAAUAUAUGGGAGAUUAGGGUGACCGGAUGACCGGGUAUCAGUCAAAGUAACAGUAGUUUGAAUAUGUAUAGGUGCCGAGGUGGUGUAGAAAGAGACAAGACAGUGGCCUUUAUUUUUCUUUCGUUCUUUCCUCUGUUCUGGUGGUAUUGUUUUAUUAAGUGGGGACCAAGUUAAGAUGAUUAGUAGGAUUUCAAUAUCUCGCCAGAGGAGAAAAUUGAAUUCAAGCCGUGUCGAGGAUUUGGUAGGAGAAAGACAAGUUAUGGAUCGGGUUGUGUACUUGUGUGGAAUUGGAUCAUUAGGGGAUGGUUUUGUAUAUAUUGUGAUUUUGGUGGUCUGGGCGACAGGCAUUAAUAGCUGUUUUGUUGGUUCAUGGUUGGUUGGGGAUUCUGGCCGUGAUUAUGGAAAUCAGAAACCUGACUUUGCCGUGGUAUAUGGUUAGCAUGGGUUGUUUGGUCGUGGGAUACUUGGUUUUAGUUUAGGGAUAAUAUCAUAAACCUCCUUUGAGAUUUCUCCUAACAUAACUUAGCGUCCCUGAGAUUUUGAAAAUAAUAACUUAUCCUCCCUAAUAAUUACAAAAAGGCUAUAUUAACUGUUAUUUAAUAUAUAAUUCACAUAUCAAAUAAAUAGAGAUCAAAAAAUUAAAAAAAAAAGAAACAAAAGUUACUUUCUUCACUUUCCCUUAUCUCUUAACAUUUUCUCUUACUCAUUUUUUUGCAUCGUUGUGCGAUUUUUUAUUUAUAAAUAAUAGUAAAUUGAAUAUUAUUUAUCUUUAUCUUUUGAGAUUGUAAUAGAAUGGGAUAUGAUUUCUUUGUUUGUUUUGAGUUGGUUAUAUAAUGAUUGGUACAACUUAAAAGUUUAGACCAUGAGUUGAGAAGAAGUUGUGAAAAAUAUAAGUUUCAUAAGAAAUUAGUUCUAAACAUAUAGAAUUAAAUUUGUGCUAAUGUAUUUCUUUACAAAUAUCUUUUUUGUUUUUCAAAUUUAUAUUUUAUAGACUAUAGAUUUGUGACGUGGUGGUAUUAUUAGAGAUUGUAUUUUAGGUGGUGGUUUUUCUUGGAAUAAACAAAGUGGCUUAUUAGUAUUUUUAUUUAGCAAAAUGAGAAAAAAGGUAGUUUAGGGUUUGUGAAAAUUUUGUUACAUAAAUAACAAAAGUAAGGGAGGAAAGUAAUAUUUUAAAACCUUAAAGAUGCUAGGUGAUAUUAAAAGAAAUUUUAGUGGAGGUUUUUGAUAUUAUCCCUUUAGUUUAUUGCUAGCCUAUUUGAGGCAUGAAUCAGAGAUUGUUUUUAAGUGCUCACUUAUACUGAAUUAAAUGCCAAAACUAUUCUACUAGUGUGCACACUCAUAUUCAUUGUCUCUUAUAUUUAAUGGAUUAAUCUUUUCUACACUGACAAUAUUAGAUGAAUGAUAAAUAUGUAAAUUUUGAAUUUAAAAUUCAACUUUUUCACAUAUGUCAUAAAUCUAACGAUGAUAGUGUGUACGCUAUCAGUGUAUAUAAAAUUUAUUCAUAUUUAAAUACUUUUUUAUUGAAUUUUAAUAUAAUCUUAAAAAUUUCUUUCAAAAUUUUCACUAAUAUCAUUUAGCGCUCUUAAAGUCCCCAACAUAUCACUUAUCUCCCUUAUUAGAGGCAAAAUAUCUUGUUGGCCCCUUGAAUUGUUAAUUUUGUAUACUUUCAAUCCUUUAACUAUUAUUCAUAUAUUUUAAUCUCUCUUAUUUUAACUUUCAACCCUUUAACUAUUAUUCUAUCUUAUAUGUCUAAAAACAUAUAAUUCUAGACCUUCUGUUAAUUUCAACCAUGACUCCAAAUGAAAUCUACCUCAAAAUGAUGUAAUUUUGAUCAUUUUCAAUCUUCCAAUCACAUCUAAUCACCAUUGCAACUAUCACAUGCUAAUCAAUGGCCAUUGAUUAUUCUUGAUCAAUAGUUGACUGCUGUUCUAAUAUUAUCAAAUUUAGAUGAAAUUACACUUUUAAACUUUGUUUUUCGAGUAGAUUCCAAAUUUAGACUCAGAUUUCUAUGAAUCUUGCUAGUUAUGAGUAGAUGUUUGCUUGUGUUUCUAUUGGUUACAGAAGCAUCAUAAAUAUACACUUUUAAGGUUGGAGGGCUAAAAAUAUACAAAUAAUAAUUGAAGAGCUAAAAGUGUAUUGACUUAUUAGUUUAAGUGCCAAUUAGAUAAUUUGCCCCUUAUUAGUGAGAUGUGACAACAAAUUACCAUCACAACAUACUAAUUGCCAAAAUUAUCCUCACUACUUUAACAAUUGUUUAGGUUAAAUAAUAUACAUGAGAAAAUAUAUAGCAUGGCUAUUAUAACUAAUUCUUUUUGCACUUGAACCAUCCCCAUUUAUUUAGUCCUUCUAUGGCAAUAGUCUGCUAAAUUAUCUUUAUUAUUCUAAUAUCUCUUGGGCAAAAAAAAUCUAGAAGGAAAAUAUUGAAAUGAAGAAAAACAAUGGCAAAUCUAACAAUUAUUUUUUGCACUUAAACCCAACAUUCUAAAAUUUUUAGUCCUUCUAUGCCAACUUUAUACUAACACUCUUGCUAUUCUAAAUUUGUUUAAGCAAAAAGAAAGAAAAGGAAGAGAAAGAACCAAAAUCCAUUUAAAAAGGAGCUAUUUAUUUUUUCACUUAAACACAAAAGGUUAGAGUUGUAAUAAAAAUACAUCUCCAUCCUCAAAUUAUUAUUUUGUGAUUAUUAUGAUGAUAUUGGGUUAUCAUUGUUACAAGAGAUAUGAUCUAAGUGAAGUCAGUGAUAUUUUUGGUACUUCAACGGAUGUCAGUGAUAUUAUCAGAAACAUCAACCGAAGUUUAUGGAAUUAUUCAUGGAUUUUAACAUUUUAAAAGAUUAGCAUAUGAAACAUCUAUUUGGGCUAAGGUACAUCACAGGCUUGGGGGAUGGAGUACACGAUAUUUGUUGGAGGGAGGAAAGAUUAUUUUAUUGUGUCAUGUUUUAAAUUCCAUGCCAUUAUAUUUGUUACAAGCUGUGGAUCCUCUGAAGAUGGUUCUUAGGAUGAUUGGUCAUAUUUUCAAUAGUUUUUUAUGGGACAGCAGCUCCUGGGAGAUUUUGUGUUUUCCAAUGGAAGAAGAGGCUUUGGGCUUUAGGUCUUUUGAAAAUGUUACUAAGGCUUUUGGCAUGAAACUUUGGUGGAGUUUCACCAAACAAAUCUAUUUGGGCCGUGUUUAUGCAUAAUAAGUAUGUUAAGGAUUAUCAUCUCUUGGAAAUUCGGUCAUUAGGUGGCUCAUUGGUAUGAAAGAGGUUACAAUCCAUUGGUGAUGGAACUGGGCAUUACAUUAGAUGGAAGCUUGGUGAAGGUAUGGUUGAUUUUUGGCAAGGCAGAUGGCUCCUUGAUGUUCCUUUAAGAGAGGAGUUGGGUGUUUCACACACUUCUCAUUGUUUGGUUGUUGAGUUUUGUCUUGUUUAGGGUUGGAAUAUUCCAAACUUGAGGAGUUUCCUACCUCAGUACUUGGUGAACUUGGUGGCGGAAUUGGGGUUUGAUAUUUCUCAGCCUGAUUUGAUGAUUUGGUGUGCUUCUUCCAAUGGGGUUGUUUGUCACGUCAUCAACCUAUGAUACAGUUAGGUAUAAGAGGAAUAUUUCCCUUCUUUGGCAGGUGACAUGCAAUGAGCUUUUGCCCCUUAAAAUAUCUUUUUUGGUUUGGAAAGUUCUGAAAAAUUUUGUUCCUCUAGAUGAGAUCAUUCAGCAAAGGGGUGUGGCUGUCCAUAUUUGGCAACAUUAUGUUGCAAUAUUUGGACUUCCUUUUCAGAGAUUUACAUGUUUAUCUUCUUUUUUGAUGGCUUGGUUUGUUUCGAUCAGUUGUAAGUUGGCUCACAUUCAUUUUGUUGUUCUGACAUUAGUUGUUUGGCUUCUCUAGUGUGGGUGAAACGCUAGGCGAUUUGAGGGUUUUCCAUUCAUAUCUAAUAAUAUUAUAUUCAGAAUUGAUUAGUUUUUGUCGUUAUUAGGUGUUUCUCAUAUUUUGCAGCCAUCUUAGAUUGGUGGAGAUGAAUGUACAUUUGUGACUCAGUACGUCAAGCUUUGCCCUCCUCCAAGGGUGGUCCAUAAAGCUAUUUUUUGGGAGAAACCUGUUCAAGGCAAAUUGAAGAUUAACACAGAUUCUAGUGUGGUGUAAGGUUGUGCUUCAGGUGGAGGGAUUCUGCGUGGCCAUCCAAGGAUGUUGAUCAUGGCAUUUUACAAGGAGUUUGGUGGCAUGAAAGUUCUCUUGGCUCAAGGGAUGGCUCUAUUAUUCGGAUUGCAAUUGUGUUCCACUUUGGGAUAUUUAGAUGUGGACUUUGAGGUGGAUUCCUUAGCUUUGGUACAUUUUAUUUUCUCAUCAUCAAUUUCUGCUUGGCCAAUAUGUAAUGUUAUUGCAAAGAUUAGUAUGAUGAUCCUUUUAAACUUUAAUUGUCAGGUAAGGCACAUUUUUCGAUACGCUAAUUUAGUAGCGGAUAGUCUGGUAUCUUUGGAUGGUAAUUCUGAAAUUGUUAUUCAUACUCCAGCUAGUCUUCUUUUGCGGAUUAGAGGAUUACUGCAUCUAUAGAUUCUCUUAGUUUCCCUAUAGUUAGAUCAUUCAUUGUAAAGAAGUAGCAAUCCUGGUUUAUUUAUCGUAUGUUGUACUCAGGAGGUAAGGUUUAUGUUCCCCUCCUUGUACUUGUUUUGAUUAUUAAUAAAAUUUGGACUGACAUCCCAUCUCCGUGUACGGGAUUUUGCCAAAAAAAACAUGAAACAUUUCUUUAUAAGUGCUGAUAAUAUACUUAUGAAGUUGCAAUUCCCAAUGUUAUUAUGUUUUUUUAUGAGAAAUUUAAUCAUAACUCUCAGCAUCUCAUUUGCAUGUGGUCUCUAAUUUUUUGAUAAUCCAAACUCAAGCAAACUGAUAACAAACUCGAUUAACAAGUUUGCUCAUUCUUCAAUUCAUUAGCUAACAGAGUCUGAUAACUCAAAACAUUUUUAGUUUCUUUUUUAACAAAAAAGAAUUUUGUUGGUCGUAAACAUAGAAUAUCAACUAAAACUCUUCUUUUUUAACCCAAACAUGAUAGCCCGUGGUUAUUCAAGUAUUAGCAGGGUUUUUAGGUCUAUUAAGUAAGAGCGGUUGAAAUUUUAUUACUAUUCUCUUAUUUUUAUCCAAUAGAUGAUUUUUUGAGAUUCAAAUUCCAAUAUCUAAGAUUCUUAUCAAGCAUGUGUGUGUUUAUAUCAACUUAUUUAGCUCUUUCUAAUUUUCUUUACAUCUUGUAAUUAUGUAAAUGCAAUGCUUUAAGAUUAAUUACUUAAUGGUAAUGGAAUGAUUUACUAUUUAAUUAUUUUUCCCUUUCUUGAGUUAACUAGUCUUGAUUUGCCAUGAAGAUAUUCAAGAAGUGAUUUAUCAUAACUUGUGGACAUUUAUAGGCUAAUUUCUUAGAAUAUAUGUAUAAAAAAAAACAUCCGUCAAAUGUAGCUUUGACACAAGAUAUUUUUCAAUCUAUACCUCAGCACGGCAGCAAAAUGAAUUUUCCCUUCCCAACCAGAUGGUGUCAGCCUGUCAGAACCUCUGCAAAAAUUUCAAUGCGGUCAGUGGCACAAAUUUUUUUUUUUUUUUUCUGACUGGACACGACUAGGACAGACAAUAAAAAAAAAAAAAAAAAAAAGGGGCUAGGGGCCUUUGUCAGUCUUUAGUCAGGCGCUUGAAAAAGGCUACCAAAGGCCAACAAAGGCCAUGUGAUGAGCAUCUUCAGCGUACGCAAAUUAUUGGCUAAUUUGUACCGCUACCGUGUCCAAUCAGCACGGUAGCGGUUAGAUUUCUGCAAAAAAAAUUCUAGUCGUUCAUCCCGUUCAGAUGAAUGGCUAGAUUUGAUUAAAUUUGCUAUAUAAUGGGGAAGAGAUUGCCGGUUUUGCUCGCUCACUCUCAUUUCUCAUUUCUCAUUCUCCUCCGAAGCAACUCCCUCGCUUUCUCUUAGUCUCAAAUUUGCUAUAGCAGCUCCUUCUGUUGGAUUCGAAAUCUUUGAAAUCGACACCGUGGUUAGGUAGUUUUGCUGGAGGCUCAAAUGCACAAGGCUUGAAAAUUUUUUGGCCGAAGCUUUCUUUAAUAGAUUGGUAGUAGUAGAAAAUCUAUCGGUCAAUUUUGAUAGCUUGCAGAAAUUAUACUCGGUUGCUGGCAACUACAUUACCAGGUUAAUUGGUGCAGAAUAGUGUAAAUUGAUUGUCUGAUUAUAAUUGAAAUUUUAUUAGUUGGUUUUAAAAAAUUGAGAUUGAUUGGUGGAUAAUAAUAGUAAUUUGUACAGAAAAGUUGAUUCGCUACUGAAGUGAAAGUCGAGGGUUAACAUCAAGGACUAGCUGUUGGUAUCGCCAUGUUACGUAAGACCGCCGUGCUAAUCAAUUGCGGUGCUGAUAAAGGCGGAAUUUUUUAAUAGAUCAUACUCGUACAGGUUAGUAAUUUAAAUUAUUAUUACAUUAGUUAUUAAUUACAUUAUUUAUAUUAUGUUAAUUAAACAUGUAGCUUAUUUACGUAUUUACAUGUUAUAUUAUACUGUCAUCAAAUGAUAUUAAUUAACAUGUUUUCUGCAUAGUGUGUUGUUGUUAUACUAUAUUAAUUAAUAGUUAAUGUAAAAUGUGAUAAAUUUAUUUAUAAUUUUAUAAUAUUGAAGUGCUAAAAAAGAGUUAACUAGUGUAUAUAGUGAUAUAGUGUUGUCGACUACGACUUAUAUAAAAUUAUAUAAUUCAUAUAGAAUUAUAUAUAAUAUAAUUCAUAUAGAAUUACUAGAACAAUUAAUUAAAAUUAUUGGUUUUUACAUGCAUAAUAUACAUUAAUUAACUAAACGUAAGAAACCUGCCCGUCAAUCGAAUUACGACCUUGUCGUGGUAUGGGACCAAAAUAUUGCCUUUCACCAUACAUUAUUUAAUCAAUAAUUUAAUUGUUACCAAAAAUAGAAGUUGGACUACAUGUGGGUUUUUGCAGCCCAAAUUCCAGGUUUAUCCGGUUGUAAAUAUUUUAACUCACGAUCAAUUGUCAUGAAAAGUGACGAGAACAAUAAAAAAAGAAAAAAGUUAUAAUCUGCAAAUAUCAAUAAAAAAAUUUUGGGGAAGAGAUUGAUAUAGAUGAAGAAUUCUUGUACACAGGACUUUUGUAAGAUAUCAUAUAUACUGCGUGCGAGGUAAAAAUGUAAUUAAAAAACAUAUAGAAUGGAAGAUUCUAUAAGGAUGCAAAAAUGUUGUUUCGAAAAAAAUAUUGAUUCGAAUUGGUUGUAUUAUUACAUACGCCAAGCCAAAGUAAUUAUAUAUAAUUAAUUCAUGCUUAUUGGAAUACAUGAAUCCUUCUGUGUUUAACAACUAUUAUGCAUUUAAUAAUGGUUUAAUAAUAAUACAAAAUUUAAGUAAAAGACAAAUGGGAUAUUUACAAUACAAAAGGCAUCUUGGGACAUGAAUAAUGAGGUUAGGCUAAUGUAUUUAUUUUAAAAAUUAAUGAAAUGAAGUAUAUUUAGGAUUAUGGUUAAAAUUUAGUUUAAUCAGGUUAUUUUGAAAAAACUUGGUAAUGAAAUUUAUUUAGGAUGGCUGUAAAAUUCUAAUUUACUAAGAUUUAUUAUAAAAAUUAUAUAACCGACUAUUUUUUAAAGAUUAUAGAUAAAUAAAUAAAGAUAUAAUCAAUUUACUCGUUACCUGUAAAUAUUUUACGGUAACCAAGCAUGUAAAUAUAUAUGCUCAUUAAAAAGUUUAUAACACCUUGUUACUUAUAUGUAAAUUAGGCUUAAUAAGUCGAGCGAUAACUGUAUGGUACUGCAACUAUAUUGGGGAGGAAAAAUUGUAUACGCUGGAGGCUCUAUAUUUUACGAUCCACCUAUGCCCAAAAAAGUUCCCUUCCUAACAGAAAUGGUUGGAUACGAUGAAUUAUUAGACAAAGUAUACAAUAUCAUAGGUUUAGAUCGGAAUAGGCAAAGGAUAAAUUUGACAUUUCAAAAUUGCCCCCAGCUUGGUAUUUUUGGUGCGAUGCCUUUGGUUGAUAAUAAUGGAAUGGUUGGUAUGUACUACCAAAAAUCUGGUAGUAGACAACCCACUGAAAUUUAUGUUGAAGUGGAGGACAUAUUGAAUUAUUGUGGUAAUGGUAGUCAAACCUUUGAAAUUGGAAGUGGGAUUGAGACCGAACCACCUUGCCAUUUAUUCGACACUUCGAAUCUCCGCCAUAGUCAGCACACUCAAUUAGAGACGGUCGAUGAUCUCCCGUCCCGAAUAGAACGACGAAAAGGCAAUAUGUGCUGUAGAGAAAUUGAUCGUCCAACCACCAGUAGUCAGCCAAGUAUGCAUAAGUCAACAAUUAUGGCUCAUGCUGCGGAUAUUCCGACUUCCUCAAUGUUAGACCCUCUUCUAUAUACCGACGACAUUGAUUUAGUUAAUGUCAAAAUUGGUUUCAAACCAGAACCGGAUGAUGACGAUUCUGGAAGUGACGACAACCAAGAUGAUGUCUAUCUGGUUCAUUCCAUCCAAGCACGAGAUCAAAUGACAUUUACUGAACCCUUUUUAGGAAGUGAAGGUCCAAGUUUGCGAUAUGAAGCAGGAGUUGAUGCUGUACUGCAGUUUGACCCUCUUGAUACUCGAGAGGCCGAAAAGCUAAAGUUCUGGAGUGAGCGCACGAAAGAAUUAGAGUUGGACCAAUUGUUCGAGAUGAAAGAGCAUGUAAAACGAGCAGUUAAAUUGUGGUCCAUAAAGGAGAACAGAGAGUACAAAGUUCGGGCUAGCACACCUACAACUUGGUUUGUGCGCUGUAGAGCCCGAUACUCCACACCUCCAUGCAAUUGGUAGAUUCGUGCAACUCUCCAUGCCUCUCACAAAAUGUGGAUGAUCGUGUCAUUUGUACCUGGGCAUACAUGUGUCCGUGUGUGCAAUAUCAAUGACUAUCGGGGGUUGAGUGCCGAUUUAAUUGCCCAACACAUUAUUUAUCACAUUAUUAAUGGUCCGCUGUACAAAGUCAAGGAAAUUCAGACUUCUGUCAAAAAGGAAUUUCAUGUCAAUGUGACGUACAAAGAAGCUUGCUACGCCAGACGUCGGGUAAUUGACAUUGUUUAUGGUGAUUGGCGACAUCUAUUUCACAACUCUCAACAUACGUACAAGAGCUCCAAUUGUCCAACCCUGAGACAGUUGUUGUUUGGGACCAUCAUCCAUUGAGUACAGCAUCACAGAUGAUUUUUGACUAUGUGUUUUGGGCAUUUGCUCCUGCUAUCCAAGCAUUUCAUCACUUGAAACCGGUCAUUUGUGUGGACGAUACAUUCUUAAAGCGGCCAUAUCGAGGAAAAUUGCUAGUAGCUAUUGGGUUUGAUGCCCGUAACCAUAUCUUCCCUUUAGCCUUUGUACUCGUUGAUAAGGAGAACAAUCGAAGUUGGAGCUGGUUCAUGAGAUUAUUGCGCAUACACGUAUGUGGAGAUGUACAAAAUAUAUGCGUAAUUUCAGACCGACACCACGGGAUCAUCCACGCCAUACGGUGGCUAGAGGAGUGUAAAGAGCCGUGAGGGGUCCAUCGAUUCUGCCUGGUUCAUGUUCGCAGUAAUUUCACUCAGAAAUUUAGAAAUGAGAGGUAAUUUUCAACUUGUCAAAUGUAGUUAACCGUAAGAAUGACUAUUUACUUCUACACAUAUUUUUAGUUUGAUUCGAUUAUUAAGUAAUAACACAUAUAUGUGUAGGUUAAAGAGUCUCAUGUGGGCUGCCGGAAAGGCAAAUCAGCCUCGCAAGUACGAGGAAUUAAUGAGUAUCAUCUAUGGUAUGGUACCCGAGGCAUAUGUCUGGCUAAUCGGUGGAUCCGUUAGGCCGGAGCAGUGGGUCUUAUGUAAGGAUGGAGGGUAUCAAUAGGGUCAUGCAACAACAAACAUGGCCGAGUGCUUCAAUAAUUUGCUACGAGAAAGUCGCUUCCUCCCAAUCACUGCAUUGAUCCGAUACACCUUCAACCAAGCAGUGGAUUUGUUUGUGAAAAAUCACAAGAUGGCUUGGGAUCAGGUGUAUCACUUGCCACUGUAUGGAUGGGAGAAAUAUAUUGCAAAUGUGCGAAAGGACAGGGCGCACUCGAUGCAGGUGUUCGACAUAGGCAGGGAAUUUAUUGCAUAACCACUGCAUAUCGCCAAACUCAUAUAGGUGGUCAUACUCAAAUCGUUGGCAUUAGGAAUCACACCUGUACAUGUGGAAAAUGGAGAGAACUCCGAUUCCCAUGUUCACAUGCCAUUGCAACAUGUUUUAGGUCUGGCAUUAAUCCGAUGUCACUUGUCGGGUAGGAGUAUACAUUUGAAGCUUAUCAAGCUACAUAUGAGAGUCCUUUCAACCCGCUAAGGGACCCGAAAUAUUGGCCCGUAACAGAGUUGAGACUGAGCCUGUUAGCUAAUCGGCUGAAACAGAAAGCACCUGGACCAUUGAAGACCAGUAGAAUUAGGAAUGAGAUGGAUCGAAGAUGUCCUGAUGCACCGCGUCGCUGUACUAAUUGCCUACAACCUGGGCACACUGCUUCUAAUUGUCCAUUCAGUGGUUAUUUAUAAACCACUGUAACAAAUGUUGUUGUCUGUCCCUAUUGAUUUUUAACUUUUAUUAUAUAAAAUGUUCAAAUUAUAUAUUAAUUUUUAUUCGUAUUCCUGUCUGAACAACAAAAACGUGUUUCUGUGCCUAUACUUUGCUAAUAUUAUAAAAUGCUAAAUUCGCAUGCACCACGACAUACGUUACCAAAGUCGACGUAUACUAGGCCCUAUCAUAUAAAUCCGAACCAAACAUAUAUGAAUAAUAUUUAACAUAUUUUAUCAUGCAGAUUAAUGGAGAGUUGGAAUAUCGGAUCCUCGGCACCCGCACAUCAAGAACCGAAUGACGAUAGUGUUCUGGGUCUACAGUCCGAGCAUAGGUCCGCUGCAGUUUUCAAUGGCGUUGGUGUGGACCUUAAUGUUAGAAGAUGUGACAAAAGAUUCUUUCGACCCCUACACAAUUUGGAUCUACGAGUGGCGCACUAUAUCGACCAAGUAGGAUUUCGUGGUGUUCGAGUGGCUAGAUCAACUUUUACAAAAUCAGAAUUAGUUGAGAACAAGCCCACAAUCCAAAAACGGCCAAAAAAAGAUGAAUAAUUGAUCAGUUGAGGUGCCAUGUAACUUUAUGUGGACGUCAAUGACAAGGGACCACCACCACUUCAGUCGUAUCUAAAAAAAUCUCUGUUUUUCUUUCUAUUUCACGCAAUGAAUUUCAAAUUUAUUUUCCUAACAAGCAGAGUACCAACUGGUAAAUCUUGUGUUCUAAAAUAAUGAUGGGGGUUUUGAAACCAACCAUGGUUCAACAUAAUUUCAUGCCAACGUAAGAAAAAUGUGAAAUAGCCUCUCACAUUUGAAAUUUGGAAGGUGGUGCUGUCGAUUUUUCGACUCAAUUACAUGUUCCUCACUCUCCUUGCUCAAAGAUUGAUUUGUACGAAACACGUAAAAGAAGUGCAAUAUACAUCUAUCCCUACUACCUCACUUAAUAUCAUGUCAUACAUGUUUCACCAAUGUACAACACGCACUCUUUAAUCGUCGAAUUACAUAUACAUUGUUACGUUUCCAAGGCCCUUCUAAGCUCAAGAAGUUGGAAAAAUCGACAUUUCAGAAUAGCACCAACACUCCUAUGUAGCGAAGGAUUUGGUAUCAACUUCUACAAGCUAGAAUGAGGAAGUGAUUAAAGAUUCUCUCAUGCAAACCAUUUCUUUUGCAGCUUUCUUCUUCAUAAUUGCAAAAGAUCAUCAGCCUCUUUUUUGCCUUAAACAAAUUUGCAUCACCUGUGGCACUUUCAGGCUUUUUCAGAAAAAGCCCGACUAUUGGAACCUAAUUUCAUAGAAUUUAUCAAGUGACUAAAGUACUUAAACAGCAUCGUCAUUUUGCCGAAGAUGAUAAGUUGUGUGCUUUAUCAGAGGUUAAGGAUUGCCAACCAUCAGAAUCUCUGCACUAGACAAGAUUCAGUACAAGAUUUGUAGUUUCCAUUGAAGGCUUCCAAGCGUAAACCAAAAGGAACCAUUAAAUAUUAAAUAUUUGACAAUCAAUUAUAGAGUUUGCUAAAGUGAUUAUGCUCCAUAGCGACACAAACAAAUCUGUCAAAACAAGAAAUGGGUGGAGGACAAUAGUCACAAAAAUUAUAAAUCAACAUCUUCAAGUAGGCAUGAUUACAAAUUAUACAAUAAUACAUUAAGAGUCAAAAAGUCAAGCAACUAAUUGUGCAAUAGCACGGGAGAAAUUUGAAAAAUAGAUCCUCUGAGCCAUAUAUCUAGUGACAGAAUUGAAAUAGCUAGAGGUGCUUGUGGACAGAGUAGAGAAAAUAAACUACCAAUCUUAGCAAAUAAAAUGCAUCAAUUUAGAAGAAAGAAAUCAAGUCCAAGAAUUAUAGCCAAAUUCUUCAUUUUCCCAAGUUUUAACAUUUGCUACAAGGGUGCAUGUGGAGUGGGUAGCACCAACAAUUAAUAAAUCAAUGUAACUAAAAAGUUAUUCACUAAAUGGCUAAACUAAGUUCACCAAGACGAAAAACCAAAAUCUACCUAUUUGUCUAGAGAAAUGACUGUUCACACGAAAAGCCAUUAUAGCAAAAAUCAAAGAAAAUUGCAGAUAAGACUUAAGAGUGCAACCCUUAGAAUUGAUUCGUCAUCACAGAAAAUCAUUAACUUAAGAUGACCUAGAUGUAGCAAAGCCAGAGGACAACAUUGGUAAUCACAGAAAAUCACGAACUCAGAAAUUACCCUGAUUAUUGAAUAGUACCAAUUAAAAAAACAUAAAUGAAAGGAAUCCCUUACACUCCAAUUAUACUACAAAACAAAGUCACACAAAGUGCAGCACCAAAUCAACAGCGAUAACCAAAAACAUCACAAAUUCAGAGAGUAUCUUAAUGAUUGAAUAGCACAAAUCAAGAAGUUGGCAAAUGAAAAGAAUCAGUUAUAUUCCAACCAACAUAGAAUCUGUUGUAAAUAAAAGAAUAUUUCAAAAGAUUUUGUCCCAUAUUGAAAAACUAAAGAGACUUUGCAUUAUUUUAUAAAGUUUAGUUUCUUAUUGGAUUUAUGUUAGAUUGCUAACUAGUGUGGGUUCAUGCGGAUGAAAGGGAAGUUGAUGAUUAGUCUUUAUUUUACCUAAUUUUAGUUAGGUUCUAGGUUAUGUUUUUGUUAAAUUUUAAGAUACAAUAGAAGAAUUGAGUUCUUUGAUAAAUUAUAUUUUAUAUAAGUAGUGUUACUUAACCAAAACAUGGAAAAGUAUGGGUUAAUAUGUAAAUUUGUGUUGUUUUUGUAGGUUUUGGGUAGCAUAUGAAAAGAUUCAAAUAAAAAAGAGUUUGAUAGCUUUGACAUAUUUUGCUAUUUCUAUUAUAUCUUGAAUUAUAAGUAUCGGACUGAGGUGGUUCUUGAACCAUUUUAAAGUUAAGAAAUGGAUCUACAUUUCUUAUGAAGAUAUCGGAAUCCAGUUUGUUCAGUUUUCUAGUCAAAAAGUCAAAAUGCAGUCAAUAAAAUUUAUGUCAAAAGCUGAAACAGAACAUUUACUAGUUAGGGGUAUUUUGAUCAUUUUUCUGCCUAAGAGAUCCAAAUGAAAUGAUUCUUGAGCCAUUGAAAAGCUAACUCAAAUAUCUACAACUUUUAUGUUUUGUCCAGGACCUAAUUCGACUUCCAUCAUCAAGAAACUUUUAGUUAAAAUUGGAUAAAAAAUAGAGCAAUGUUGAGUUUUUAGUUGAAAGUGCAAAACUGAGCACAAAGAAGAAUCGCAAGAUAGAUUUGCCAGGUAGCAUGUCACAGAUUCACCUCACAGGUCCCUUGGACAGAGCUGUAAGUUGCAAGCAACUUGCAUUCGUUUGCCACUGCUUUUUGGAUCAAUUUUUCUGAAGAAAUUGAGUUGGAACCAGCUAAACUUGAGAGGGGAAAUCUAAGAACAACUUUUUGACCAUAUGAUGAGCUCAUUUUCUUGAUCAAAAACAUCUAUAAAUACCCCUUGUAUCUCAUUUAUUUGAGAUCAUAUUUUAGCAAGAGAUAGCAUCUUAUAGUAAGAAGUAGAGUAGAUUAAAAGUAGAAAUAAAAGUAGUUUUACCUCUACUUUCAUAUUGUAAGUUUCAAAAUUGGUUUAAGAGAUUUGAGAGAGAAACGAAAACACUCUUGUAUCAAACUCAUUUAAGAGAUCAACUUGUGAAGGAAUUCAAGGAUUUAAGAUUCAAGACUGAAUAAGAAUUUUUCUUCCUAAACUUUGUCUCUUAUUCUUAUUUGCCAUACUUUUUUACAAGUUUGUUUCAUGCUUAGAUAUUUUUAAUAUAAUAACUAGCUAAACUUUUUCAUAUUCUAGGGUGAAGAUGAACUUGUUAUAAUCUUAAUUUGGAGUUAGGGGAUGAUUAUGCUUUUUCAUGAUUUGUUAGUUUGAGAACUUGUGCUUAUACUUUAUAGUUGUUUGGCAAUCAAUUAUGAAUGACUUGAUCAUUGUUGAGCAAUGAAAGUUGCCUUCAAAUAGAUCUAAAUUUUUAAACAUUAACCUUAUUCUCACAAAAGUGGUGGAUAAUGGUUAGUUGGAUUCAUACAAUAAUUUCAUUGAGCAUAUUUAACUUGUUUCUUACCUUUUCUCUAUAAACAGAGAUGAAGGAUGAUUCAAAAAAUUAAAGAAAUUGGCAAAAGCAAUUUCUAGAGGAAUUAGGCAAGGCGGUUUCUUUUAAUUGUAUAUGGGUAAAAGCAAGGACAUACAAUUGGAAGUUAUUCCUUGACAAUUCAUGGAAGAUAAUUAGAAUCACCUUAACUAACUUUUAUUCUUGACAUAACAAGAGAUUCUAAUGCUUAGGAUUCUCUCACUUCAUCUUUAAGCAAUUCUAAUAUAACUUAUCUUUACUUUCAUUUAUUUUAUUGCAAUAUACUGCCUAAAUGAUUGGUUCUACCACCUACUAGCCGGUUUUAUAUUUAUUGCUUUUGCUAUAUGGCUGAUUGUACCGCCUAAACUAAAAUCUUUUAUAGCCGGUUAUGUCACCUAAGAUAACAUCUUUUGCAGCCGGUUUUACCGCUUAAUUAACUUUCUUUGUUUUUACCAUCUUAAAGUUUGAUUGUCUAGAUAAUAAAAUUAGUAAUUAAACGCAAGUGAUUACCAAUUUCUAGGUCCGUAUGGGAUUGACACUGUGAGAGCUGAGAAUUUAUUCAUAUAUUUCAUAUUUUAUUGAAAGGGUUGCAUAUACCAUAUCAUUGAUUGACUUAUGUGUUUAAUUGCCUCCUUAUAAUUUAAGUGCAUAGGAAUUGAAGAAUUCUAUCGGACGUCCAAUGCUUGCGUCCGAUCGAGAUCAGUGAUUUAGGGGGAAUGUCUUAUUUACUUCGGACGUCCGGUGAUGGAGUUUUUCAUGCUUCCGAAAUUGCGCAAUGAUUAUCGGACGUUCGAUCUUAUCUUCACAAGCGUCCGACAGCUUUCAGCAACUUUUGUUUCUUUUAAUUGCACUUGAUUUUUGAAUCUGAUUUGCUUAAUAACUGAAAAUAUAUCUUGAAAGGAUAUUAGUAUCAUCCAUUUGUUUUGUAAACAUAAAAAACUAGGGAUUAAAAUCAACAUUAUCCCCCUUUUGGAUGAUGACAAAACAAUGGAUGAAAAAAGAAAAAAAGAUUCAGCAUAAGCUCCCCAUCACUUAUUGCAUUCAAAAUUUUUAAGAGCCAAAUUUAUAAUCUCAAAAAGACUCCCCCUUACACAUAACAUCAAUUUCUCCCCAUUUUUGUUAUCAUAAGAUAAAGGUAAAAAUCAGCAACCAUAAUCCAGCAACAAUAAUAAAGAAUCCAAUAUUCCAAACAAAAAUAAAAAAAAAUGAUACCAGAAUUCAGCAAUUAUUGUCAAAAAAUUGAUACCAAACAGAGAAAUAACAAUCAAAAUAAUUAUCAAAGAAAACCAUCAUUAGAUCAACAUUAUUCUUUUCUCUCCCUUUUUUUGUCAUCGUAAAAAUUCAGUAAUAUCCAAAAAUAUCAAGAAAAACUCAGUUAAAGCAUUAGAAACAUCAAAAGAAAAUUACAAAAGAACAUUAUGAAAAAUAAUCUCACCAAUCUUACCAAUAUCUCCUAUUCUAAUUGAUUUAAUUUUCAUGUCAUCUCCAAAUAUCACUUGCCACAAGACUUUAGCUAGAGUUUUGAUGAAUUGUGAUGGAUCACCGGUCAUGUGUCUUAAAUAUUCACAGUCUAUGAACUACUUGGAUUCCUUAAUAAUGUUCACCAAAUUCACCUAUUCAAGAGUUCAAGAACUAAUAUAUAGUACCCAAAAAUUUUUGGGUGCUUGAGAGUUAACAUUAUGUCUAACUAUCCACACGCAUUUUACGUUAUUUCUCAUAUUUUUCCUUACAUAGUAAUUAUUCUUCAUGUAACCAACUUGACAACAGAAACUACACAUAGUCAGGGAAUUGCUUACAUAAACAGGUUUAACAAAUCUGACUUGCCUUCUUCUAUAAAUGGUAAAUUCGUUUGCAUUAGAAUUCAACCUUUUUUUAUGAAUGUCGAAGUGAGGUUUUGGUUCAUUCCUUUGAAAAUAGACUUAUUUUUAUAUUGGAGCAAAUUAUUUAAAUUAUCCAUUCUUCUUUUCAAAUCACCUUGUUUCUUUUUGAACAAUUCACAAAGUUUUAUUUUUCUAUCAAGUUCAAAAUGUGGGACAGUCUCAUUCUUUUUGAAGUAGUCAUUUUCAGCUUUCAACUUUUUGUUUUGUUGAAAAAGAUUUACAUUAUCUUGAAACAAAAAACUAAUUUUCUGUUUUAACUCCUGUUUUUAGUAUAAGAUUCUUUCAAACUAUCAUGCAAUUUUAUAAUGAAAGAUUCAAGAUCAUCAUUAGUUUCAUCAUUACUUUUAAGUUAAAAGUUAGAAAUUGUUACCUCAUUAUCUUUAAUGGCCUUAAAAGCCAAUUGACCAGAUUCUUCUUCCUCUUCAAUUUCACCAUCGGAGUUGCACUCAUUUCAUGUGAAUUGAAAGUUAUUAAAUCUUGAUUUUCUUCUUUCUUUCUUCUUCUUCAUUGGACACUCACUCAUAUAGUGUCCAAAUUAGUUGUAUUCAAAGCAUUUGUCCACUUGUUUUUAUUGGUCUCUUGUUUUCCUUUGUUCCUUGCAUUGAUGAACUGAUUUGAAAAUGUAUUGCUAGGUUCUCCUCUUCUGAAUCUCCUUUUAUUCAGGAUUCUUUUGAAACUUCUUGUGAUGAGAGUUAGAUCAUCAUCAUCAACAUCCAAAUCUUCUCUAUCCAAUGAAAUCAAAUCAUCUACAUCUUGAGAAGCUUUUAGAGCAAUGCUCUGUUUUACAUUCAUAUCUUCUUCUUCCUGUACUUUGGUCUUAGUUUCAACUCAUAAGAUGUUAAAGAAUUUACAAGAAAUUCAAUAGACAUAGAAUUCAGAUCUCUUGCCUCUUCAAUAACAGUCACUUUACUUGUCCAAUCUUUAGACAGAGCAUAUAAGAUUUUUCUAUUUUUCUCUCCUAAGGUAUAUUUUUUUCCAGGACUUCUAAAUCUUUAAUAAGAUCGUUGAAUCUACAAUACAUUUGAUCAAUAUUUUCAUGACCUUCCAUUUUAAACGACUCAUAGGUAAUCAAAAUAGAUUUCGUCUGUUCUCUAACAUUCUCACUACUUUCAUGAAUUUGUCGCAGUUUGUCCCAAAUUUCUUUAAUUGACUUACAUCUCUUGACUCUAAUAGAUUUAUUUGAGUCUAAAACACAAUAUAACACAUUCAUAACUUUUGCAUUUAAGAUAAGAUGAACUCUAUCAACUGUCAUUUCUAAUUUUUGGUUUUGAUCUAUGAGUAAUAUCAUCUACUAUAGAGGCAUCAUAUAGACCUUAAUUAAUAAUAAACUACAAUUCAAUAUCAAUUGAUUACAAGAACAUAAUCAUUCUUUCUUUCCAAAUCACAUAAUUUGACCCAUUAAAUAUAGGUGGUCUAAUCACAGAUUGUCCUUCCAAAAAUACGAUAUUGUUGAUUGUCAUCUUUACUUCUAAGCCACUUAAGUUUAAUCUCUAGGAGACCAAAUUGUGAUACCAAUUGUAAGAUCCGAAGACAACCUAAAAGGGGGUGAAUUAGGUUGAUUAAAAAACUAAUCAAGUUAUGAGCACUUUUUGCUCAAUAUGAAAUUUACCCUAUUUUCUAAGUGAUCACACAAUGAAUCAAUCAAUGAAUGAACAAUAUCACUUGAGAGAAGUAGAAGAGAUAAACAAUUAAAAGAUCACAACAUAACAAUAAGUAAAUAAGAAGGGAAGAAUUGCAAACCAAUUGACUACCAAACUCCUUUUGAACUUGUAGAUCAAUUCAAAUAAGUUUCUUUAAAUUGAUGAAAUACAAUCAAUCUUGUGUACAAAGGAAGGUUAACUUCCUCCUUACCCCAUUCUCCACUUGGUCAAAUUAAAAAGUUUUACUAUCUCUCAGGAUAACCCUCACAGAGCUACUGUCAGGAACUUAAGACGUAAUUUGUCGUUUUAUUCUUUAGUGCAUGCGUUUCAGUAAUAAAACGAAAUAAGGACUAGGACAUGAAACGGUGCCGUUGGACUAAUUCUGGUAGUUAGUUAGAAUUAGUUAUUCUGUUAGCUCACGUUUGUUUAGUUUCUACUAUUAGCUUCCAUUAUAAAUAGCAAAUAUAAUAGAAGGAAAGAUUAUCAGACUUAAUGCAAUUUGAAUUAUUUUUUCUCUUGUUUUAGCUCUCUCUUCUUUUCCAUCACUUUUCCUUUUCUUCCCCAAUUCUUCCUCUGCCGUUCACUUCCCUUUUCUGUAUCCCACGAGUUCAAACCCAAGAGUCUGACAUUUGGUAUCAGAGCAGCCGAUCCUUGGCUGCAAUUGAUACGAAAAUGGCGGAAAACACUCGGUACCGCACCUUGGAAGAACAUAUCAAGAAGCAAGACAGUCGUUUGCAAGAGGUGGUGGAAUUGAUGGCCAGUAUGCAGGCCUCUUGUCAACAGUAGUUUCAGGAGGAAAUGGAGCAGAAGAGCUCGCGACUGGAAGCACUAGUGGGUAACUUGGAUCAAAGGUUCAACUCGAUUGAGCAGAAGUUCAACAACCUGUUGACUAUGAUGUUGAAGGAAAGAGGCUGCUCGAAGCUGGAAUCGCAAGCUUCAGACCCGUUGCUGCCAAUUCCACCGCCGCACAUGAAGCUCGAAAAUCAGAAUGGAGCGCACGUCUCUCACCAAGAGCUCAAAAGUAAGCAAUUCAACCCUAUCUUGCCAAAAUUGGAAAUGCCUAUGUUUGCUAUGGGUAACCCUAGGGAGUGGCUUAGAAAAUGCCAGAAGUAUUUCCUAAAUUACCAGAUUCCUGAUAGCCAGAGAAUGGAAAUGGUAGAAAUGUUUUUGGAGGGGAAAGCCGACAACUGGUUUCAAUGGGUGAAGCUCGAACGGCCUGGCCUCUCCUGCUUAGAGUUUAGUGACUUACUUUGUGAGAGGUUUGCCUAUAAAACAUCUAGAGAUGUGGUGGAAGAAUUCAAUAAGUUACAACAAAAAGGUACAGUAGAAGAGUAUGAAGAGAAAUUCGAGGAGCUAAAAACUCUUAUAUUACUUAGAAAUCCUAAAUUGGAUGAGUCUUAUUUUGUCUCUAGUUUCAUCAGUGGCUUGAAAGAGGAAAUCAAGCCAAUGGUGAAGAUGUUCAAGCCCAAAAACCUAUCCAAGGCUUUUGAGGUAGCUGAACUGCAAGAAUGCUCCUUAGAAGUGCAAUCGAGAUCACCGCAAAACACUAGUAAAACUGUUUUGGAGUCCAGAUUUGGAAUGUUUAAGGCUCAACCUAACAGUCAAAAGUCUCCCAACUCCUACUGAAUUCCUUCAAUUACUCCAAACUCCAAUAAACAGGAGAACGUGGCUAGAGAGUUUAAUAAAAUUUCUGCAAAAGAAAUACAAUAUAGACGCAAACAUGGCCUGUGCUAUAGGUGUGAGGACAAGUUUGGGGUAGGUCAUCAUUGUAAGCCAAGGAACUUGAACUGCAUUGACCUUGAAGAAGAAAAUGACAUGGAUUUUGAGGAUGCGGAAUGGGAACAAGAUAAAAGUACUGGGAGAGUAGGGGAAGGCUGAGGUUUCACUGAAUGCCUUAAAUGGAGCUAUGAGCAGGAAAUCGAUCAUUUUGCUAGGUAACAUGGGAGGGUUGCCUAUCAAGAUCUUGGUGGAUACUGGAGCCUCCAACAGUUUCAUUCAUUUUGGAUUGGUUAAAUCCUUAUAUUUACCACACCAAGAGGUUAAUCCUUUCACAGUAACCUUAGCUGAUGGUACUGAUAUUACUAGUGGUGCAGUGUGUCCAAGGGUAAGUUGAUUAAUACAAGACUAUCAGUUUCAGUUUGACCUGAAGGUGAUGGAUUUAGGGAAUUAGAAUAUUAUAUUAGGAGUGGAUUGGAUGUACCAAUUCAAUCCCAUUAUUUUUUACUUUCACAGUCUCAGCAUUGCUCUCAGUAGUAGUGGAAGUUUGCUACAUCUACAAGGAGUUAUCAGCCAACCUGUGAUGGAACUGGUACGAGGGAAGGACCUCAGAUCCUUCAUACAAGAGAAGCAAAGAAAUUGUGCUGCUAUACAGGCCGAAUCAUAGAACUACCAGCCAGGAGAUAUCCCAAAGCAGGUAGAAAGGAUACUACAACAGUUUCCACAAGUUUUUGCUGAUCCACAGGGUCUACCCCCAUAAAGAGAGUUGGAUCACCAAAUUACUCUCAAACCUGAAGCAGAACCCUUCAAAUUAAAGCCUUACAGGUACCCUCAUGCCCAUAAAACUGAGAUUGAGAAGCAAGUUGCUGAGAUGCUUUCUAGUGGCAUUGUCUCCUACAGUAGUAGUCCUUUUGCCUCUCCUGUUUUGCUGGUUAAAAAGAAAGACAACUCAUGCAGAUUAUGUGUAGAUUACUGCAAGCUAAAUGAGCUAAAAGAAUAACUAAUUCUAACUAACUACCAGAAUUAGUCCAACGGCACCGUUUCUUGUCCUAGUCCUUAUUUCGUUUUAUCACUGAAACACAUACACUAAAGAAUAAAACAACAAAUGAGCUGAUUGUUAAGGACAGGUUUCCCAUACCAAACAUUGAUGAGCUAUUGAAUGAGUUGCAUAGAACUAAAUACAUGUCUAAGCUGGACCUUAGGGUUGGUUAUCACCAACUAAGGGUUAAGGCAGUUGAUACAUAUAAAACCGCCUUCCAGAUGCACCAUGGUCACUUCGAAUUUUUAAUGAUGCCAUUCGGGUUAACAAACGCUCCAACUACAUUCCAGGCCUUGAUGAACCGAAUUUUUCAACCAUAUAUGAGGAAAUUUGUGUUAGUAUUUUUUGACGAUAUCUUAGUAUAUAGUCCCACCCUUGAAAUGCACAUCCAGCAUCUGCGAACCAUCAUUGGGGUCCUGGCUGACAACCAGCUAUUCUGCAAGAAAUCUAAGUGUUCAUUUGCCCAAACUUCCGUGGAAUAUUUGGGGCAUGUGAUAUCUGAAAAAGGAGUGAGCGUGGACCAGUCUAAGGUGGAAUGCAUACUCUCACGGCUUUCUCCCAAGACAGUGAAGGAAUUGAGAGGAUUUCUACGGUUAACGGGAUACUACAGGAUGUUCAUUAAAGGCUAUGGGGUGAUCAGUAAACCCUUAACUCAACUGCUGAAGAAGGAGGGGUUUACAUGGUGUUCUGAAGCUCAGAUAGCCUUUGAAGAUCUCAGGAAGGCCAUGACCACGGCCCUGGUAUUGAGCAUGCCCAACUUUGAGAUUCCAUUCGUCAUCGAGACUGAUGCAUGUGGAGUGGGUAUUGGUGCAGUUUUGAUGCAACAAGGACAUCCCAUAGCCUUUCUUAGCAAGGCUCUCGCAAACCAGAAUUUGGGGAUGUCGGUGUACGAAAAGGAGCUCUUUGCAUUGGUGCUAGCCGUCACUAAAUGGAAACAUUAUCUAGUCGACCAUCACUUCGUCAUCCGCACAGAUCAUCAGGCCUCAAAUACCUACUUGAAUAGCGGCUCACUCAUCCAUUGCAGUACAAAUGACUGACCAAGUUGUUAGGCUUGGAUUACAAGAUCCAAUACAAGAAGGGCAUUGACAAUGGUGUAGUUGACGCGUUAUCUAGAAGGAGGGUAAGUGAAAUCAGUGAGGAAUGCACCAACCAGUGUGGUACUGUGAGUGCUAUCUCGUCAAUGCAGCCGGCAUGGGUACAGGAGUUAUUAGAUAGUUAUGUAGGUGAUGCUAUGGCCCAGGAACUUAUUUCCCAACUACUGCUGGAUCCUUCUUCCAACUCAAAUUAUCAAUUGGACAAGGGAUUGUUGAAGUGCAAAGGCAAAUUGUAUGUGGGGACUUCUAAAGGGAUCAAGGGUAACAUUAUCAAGGCACUGCAUGCCUCUGCUAUUGAGGGACAUUCCGGUCCAAGGGGGUGUCUACAAAAGAUGCAAGCACUGUUUCACUGGCCCGGAAUCAAGAGGGAUGUCAUACAGUUUGUGAGAUCGUGUGACGUAUACCAAAGAAGUAAGCACGAAAAUGUCCCUUACCCCAGGCUGCUACAGCCACUUCCAGUUCCUCAGCAUGCUUGGUCUCAAAUAACCAUGGACUUUAUUGAGCAGUUGCCGUUAUCUCAUGGGUUUGAUACUAUCUUCGUGGUAGUAAACCGUUUCAUUAAAUUCAGCUAUUUUAUGCGUCUCUCUCAUCCUUAUUCAGCUAAACAGGUAGCUAUGGUUUUCCUUGAUAAUGCGUAUAAACUCCAUGGUCUCCCUGAGGUUAUAAUUUCGGAUUGGGACAGGGUGUUUCUAAGUGGGUUCUGGCAGAAAAUGUUUAAGAUGUUGGGGACUAAACUCCACUACAGCUCUUCAUAUCAUCCACAGUCCGACGGGCAGAGCGAGAGAGUUAACCAAUGCCUGGAAAUGUGCCUAAGAUGCAUGUGUAGUGAGCAUCCAACCCAGUGGAGUGUAUGGUUAUCUACGGCGAAGCAUUGGUACAACACCAACUUCCAUACCAAUUUGCAACUAUCCCCCUUUAAGGCAUUAUGUGGAUAUAAGCCGACUCCUAUUCCUUUGGGACCCUUCCAUGACAUUGUAAUACCAGCUGCAGCUGAUAUGGUACAAAACAGAUUACAAAUCACGUUGCAAAUCAAAGAGAAUUUAGCUAAGGCUCAGAACCGAAUGAAACACUAUGCUGAUCAACACAGGACAGAAAGAACUUUACAGGUGGGAGACUGGGUUUACCUUAAGUUACAGCCUUAUAGGCCGCAAACUGUGGCCAUCAGAAGGAGCUUAAAGCUAUCGGCCAAGUAUUAUAGACCUUUCCAAAUUAUUGAGAAGGUAGGGGCUGUAGCCUAUAAGCUACGAUUACCACCUGGAGCUAGAGUUCAUCCGGUGUUUCACGUCUCACUUCUUAAGAAGCAGAUUGGUGGCAGUCAACUUAUUGAAGCAGUCUUGCCAGAGUUGGAUUCCUCAUAUCAGUAUUUGCUGCAACCUGAGUAGGUGCUUAAACGCACGGUUGUCAUGCGGGAUUCGCAACCAGUUAUACAAUAUCUUGUCAAGUGGAAUCAUUUGCCGACUCGGAGGCCUCUUGGGAGGAUAAAAAUUUCAUUGAUAAAAUGUUUCCAGAUUUUAAAGCUUGAGGACAAGCUUUCUUUAUGAAGAGGAGAUUGUCAGGAACUUAAGAUGUAAUUUGUCAUUUUAUUCUUUAGUGUAUGCGUUUCAGUGAUAAAACGAAAUAAGGACUAGGACAUGAAACGGUGCCAUCGGACUAAUUCUGGUAGUUAGUUAGAAUUAGUUAUUCUGUUAGCUCAUGUUUGUUUAGUUUCUACUAUUAGCUUCCAUUAUAAAUAGCAAAUGUAAAAGGAAAGAUUAUCAGACUUAAUACAAUUUGAAUUACUUCCUCUCUCUUGUUUUAGCUCUCUCUUCUUUUCCAUCACUUUUCCUUUUCUUCCCCAAUUCUUCCUCUGCCGUUCACUUCCCUUCUCUGUAUCCCACGAGCUCAAACCCAGGAGUCUGAUAGCUACACUAUUGAAAUAUUCACUCACAAAUGAAAAACUUACAACGAAUAUCACACCACUAAAACUACAAAUUUUUUUUGAAAAGUAUUUUCUCACUAAAAAUCGCUCUAGAUCUUUUGUAUCUUCAGUAUGUAAAAAUUAUUUGAAGUUUUGGACCAUGCUCUAUUUAUAGGAGACCAAGAAAGUGCUUCAUUAAUACUUCCAACGAAUAGAAAGUAACUGAAGAGUCAACUAGUCGUUGGGAGUGUCGGACGUCCGGUACUCCUGUUUUUUGCAUCUGACAGCAGGCAGUGAGUUUGAAAAUUUUUCUUCAAUUCUAUCAGACAUCCGGUAUUGUCUUUGUGAGCAUCCGACAGCUUUCGUCGAGUUUGAAGGAAGACAAAGAGUUUGAAAAAUUCUAUCAGACGUCCAAUACUUGUGUCCGAUCGAGAUCAAUGAGUUACGGGGAAUGUCUUAUUUCCUUCAGACGUCCGGUGAUGGAGUUCUUCAUGCGUCCGAAGUUGCGCAGUGAUUAUCGGACGUCCAAUCCUGUCUUCAUAAGCGUCCAACAGCUUUCAGUAACUUUUGUUUCUUUCAAUUGCACUUGAUCUUUGAAUCUAAUUUGGUUCAUAACUAAAAGUAUAUCUUGAAGGAAUAUUAGUAUCAUCCAUUUAUUUGUAAAUAUCAAAAGUUAGGGAAUAAAAUCAACAUUCUCCCUCUUUUUGAUGAUAACAAAACAAUGAAUGGAAGAAAGAAAAAAAAGUUCAGCAUAAGCUCCCCCUCACUUAUUGCAUCCCAAAUUUUUAAGGGCCAAAUUUAUAAUCUCAGAAAAACUCCCCCAUACACAUAGCAUCAAUUUCUCCCCCUUUUUAUCAUCAUAAGAUGAAGGUAAAAAUCAGCAACCAUAAUCCAGCAACAAUAAUAGAGAAUCCAAUAUUCCAAACAAAAACAAAAAAAAUGAUACCAAAAUUCAGCAAUUAUCGUCAAAAAAUUGAUACCAAACAGAGAAAUAACAAUCAAAAUACUUAUCAAAGAAAACCAUCAUUAGAUUAAUAUUAUUCUUUUCUCUCCCUUUUUUUGUCAUCGUAAAAAUUCAGUAUUAUCCAAAAAUAUCAAGAAAAACUCAGUUAAAGCAUUAGAAAUAUCCAAAGAAAAUUACAAAAGAACAUUAUGAAAAAUAAUCUCACCAAUCUAACCAAUAUCUCCUAUUCCAAUUGAUUUAGUUUUCAUGUCAUCUCCAAAUAUCACUUGCCACAAGACUUUGACUAGAGUUUUGAUGAAUUGUGAUGGAUCACCGGUCAUGUGUCUUAAACAUUCACAGUUUAUGAACUACUUGGAUUCCUUAAUAAUAUUCACCAAAUUCACCUAUUCAAGAGUUCAAGAACUAAUAUAUAGUACCCAAAAACUUUUGGGUACUUGAGAGUUAGCAUCAUGUCUAACUAUCCACACGCAUUUCAUGUCAUUUUUCAUAUUUUUCCUUGCAUAGAAAUUAUUCUUCAUGUAACCAACUUGACAACAGAAACAACACAUAGUCAGGGAAUUGCUUACAUAAGCAGGUUUAACAAAUCUGACUUGUCUUCUUCUAUAAAUGAUAAAUUCGUUUGCAUUAGAAUUCAACCUUUUUUUAUGAAUGUCAAAGUGAGGUUUUGGUUCAUUCCUUUGAAAAUAGACUUAUUUUUUAUGUUGGAACAAAUCAUUUAAAUCAUCCAUUUUUUUUUCAAAUCACCUUGUUUCUUUUUGAAUAAAAAAUUUUAUUUUUCUAUCAAGUUCAAAAUGUGGGACAGUCUUAUUCUUUUUGAAAUAGUCAUUUUCAGCUUUCAACUUUUUGUUUUGUUGAAAAAGAUUUGCAUUAUUUUGAAACAAAAAAUUAAUUUUCUGUUUUAACUCCUGUUCUAGUAUAAGAUUCUUUCAAACUAUCAUGCAAUUUUAUAAUGAAAGAUUCAAGAUCAUCAUUAGUUUCAUCAUUACUUUUAAGUUGAGAGUUAGAAAUUGUUACCUCAUUAUCUUUAAUGGCCUUAAAAGCCAAUUGAUCAGAUUCUUCUUCCUCUUCAAUUUCACCAUCAGAGUUGCACUCAUUCCAUGUGAAUUGAAAGUUGUUAAAUCUUGAUUUUCUUCCUUCUUUCUUCUUCUUCAUUGGACACUCACUCAUAUAGUAUCCAAGUUAACUGCAUUCAAACAUUUGUCCGCUUGUUUUUAUUGGUCUCUUGUUUUCCUUUGUUCCUUGCAUUGAUGAACUGAUUUGAAAAUGUAUUGCUAGGUUCUCCUUUUCUAAAUCUCCUUUUGUUCAGGAUUGUUUUGAAACUUCUUGUGAUGAGAGAUAGAUCAUCUACAUCUUGAAUGCUUUUAGAGCAAUACUCUGUUUUACCUUCGUAUCUUCUUCUUUCUGUACUUUGGUGUUAAGUUUCAACUCAUAAGAUGUUAGAGAAUUUAUAAGAGAUUCAAUAGAUAUAGAAUUCAGAUCUCUUAUCUCUUCAAUAACAGUCAAUUUACUUUUCCAAUCUUUAGACAAAGCAUACAAGAUUUUUCUAUUUUUCUCUCAUAAGGUAUAUUCUUUUUUCAGAACUUCUAAAUCUUUAAUAAGAUCAUUGAAUUUAAAAUACAUUUGAUUAAUAUUUUCAUGAGCUUCCAUCUUAAACGACUCAUAGGUAAUCAAAAUAGAUUUUUUCUGUUCUCUAACAUUCUCACAACUUUCAUGAAUUUGUCACAGUUUGUUCCAAAUUUCUUUAGCUGACUUACAUCCCUUGACUCUAAUAGAUUCAUUUGAGUCUAAAGUACAAUAUAACACAUUCAUAACUUUUGCAUUUAAAGUGAGAUGAUCUUUAUCAACUGCAGUCAAUUCAUUUCUAGUUUUUUAUCUUGGUUUAUGAGUAAUAUCAUCUACUAUAGAGGCAUCAUGUGAACCUUAAUUAACAAUAAAUCACAAUUCAAUAUCAAUCGAUUGCAAGAAAAUAAUCAUUCUUUCUUUCUAACUCACAUAAUUCGACUCAUUAAACAUAGGUGGUCUAAUCACAGAUUGUCCUUUCAAAAACGUGACAUUGUUAAUUGUCAUCUUUACUCCUAAGCUGCUUGCGUUUAAUCUCUAGGAGACCAAGUUCUGAUAUCAAUUGUAAGGUUCGAAGAUAACCCAAAAGAGGGUGAAUUAGGUUGAUUAAGAAACUAAUCAAGUUAUGGACACUUUUUGCUCAAUAUGAAAUUUACCCUCUUUUCUAAGUGAUCACACAAUAAAUCAAUCAAUGAAUGAACAAUAUCACUUGAGAGAAGUAGAAAAGAUAAACAAUUUAAGGAUCACAACAUAGCAAUACGUAAAUAAGAAGGAAAAAAUUGCAAACCAAUUGACUGCCAAACUCCUCUUGAACUUGUAAAUCAAUUCAAACAAAGUUCUUCAAAUUAACGAAAUACAACCAAUCUUGUGUACAAAGAAAUGUUCACUUCCUCCUUAUCCCAAUUUUCACUUGAUCAAACUAAAAAGUUUUACUAUCUCUCAGGACAACCCUCACAGAAUUACACUAUUGAAGUAUUCACUCACAAAUGAAAAGUUUACAAUGAACUUCACACCACCAAAACUAUAAAUCUUUCUUAAAGAGUAUUUUCUCACUAAAAAUUACUUUAGAUCUUUUAUAUCUUCAGUGUGCAAAAGUUAUUUGAAAUUUCUGACCAUGCUCUAUUUAUAAGAGACCAAAAAAGUGCUUCAUUAAUACUUCCAACGGAUAAAAAGUAGUUGAAGAGUCAACUAGCCAUUGGGAGUGUCGGACGUCCGGUACUCCUAUUUUUUGCGUCCGACAGCAGGCAGUGAGUUUGAGAAAUUUUCUUCAAUUCUAUCGGAUGUCUGGUAUUGUCUUUGUGAGCAUCUGACAGCUUUCGUCGAGUGUGAAGGAUCUAUCGAACGUCCAAUACUUCCAUUUGAUUGCAGACAAAGAGUUUGAAAGAUUCUAUUGGACGUCCGAUGCUUGCGUCCGAUCGAAAUCAGUGAGUUAAGGGAAUGUCUUAUUUCCUUCGGACGUCCGAUGACGGAGUUCUUCAUGCGUCCGAAAUUGCGCAAUGAUUAUCGGACCUCCGAUCCUAUCUUCACAAGCAUCCGACAAUUUUCAGCAACUUUUGUUUCUUUCAAUUGCACUUGAUCUUUGAAUCUAAUUUGCUUAAUAACUGAAAGUAUAUCUUGAAGGGAUAUUAGUAUCAUCUAUUUGUUUUGUAAACAUCAAAAGUUAGGCAACAGGGGAAGAAAAACUCCUUCUUCAACUACAAAUCUUGCUCCAAAAUUCUCCCCAAAAAUUUUCACACCUUUGGAAGUUGUUCAAACUUAAAAAAAUGCCUUGUCCUGUGGUGGUUCUUGGUAGAUUUGGUGAUGCAAAGUUUGGACUUAACUAUGGUUGAAGAAACUUGGAAGGGGUAACUAGCUCCACUCUACUUGAUCUUUAAUUUUAUGCAAGAUUUGGUAGUAGAUGUGGGUUGCUAUGAAAGGGUAUUUGGAACCCUAAAAAUUUAGGAUAAAUGACUUGAGGAUCUUUCAUAUUUUGUUAUGCAGUCUAUGGUAGAUUUUAAUGCUAAAGGACUUGAUAUAUGUUGGUUUGUGUUUAUUGUGGAAAUCUCAUGCAUUGGAUGAAUUUUAAAUGUGAUUGGUUGAAGGACAAGAUUCCAGAAAUUUUCUCUAUGCAAUGGCUGACCUGACUAGUUAGUUUCCAGCCUUGAUUUUCAAAUUUUUUGGGUGAAAUCUAACUCAAUAACCUUUGUUAGAUAUUAAGCUAUGGAUGUGUGAAUAGGUUGAGUAAAAAUUUGGACUUAAGAAGUCAAGAGAGAGAGAUGCACACUGCCCUAUUUUCUGAAAAAUUCUCACAGGUGUGACUAACCCAUCUUAGAAAAAUAUUGAUAUCUUGGUAUAAAAAAAAUUUAAAUCAAGUUCUGUUUAUUGUGUUUAAAACUAGAUUCAGAGUACUUUCUACCGAUCAAAUUUCAUAAUUUUUCUCAACUCUUAUGAAUAUUAAUGAUUUUUCAAAGUUGACUGCAAUUCAAAACCUGAUGUGCUCUUAAACUUGGUGGAGCUGUAACUUGAGGCCAAAAUUUGACCUACUUGUGGAUUGAAUCUUACAAAAGUUCUUCAAGACAAUUGUAUUUCUUUGAAUCUGGUUUCCAACGGUAUAAGGUUUUCAAUUUUUGGACUUACAAAACUCAAGAUAUGAUUUUUCAAGUAGCGCCUCGCAAAGCUACAUUUCUGGUUUAAAACAAAAUAUUCUUUUAAGAACUUCCAAAUUUCCUUUGAGAUGGUUAGUUCAUUUUAAGUUUGAUUUCAUGUAUGGAUACAAGGUCUCUUGUGACUUUAAACCUUCGUUUUGAAUCUGGAUUUUCAAAGGAUUUAAACCUCUCUUGAUGUAUUGUCUUAGUUGAUUAGGCAAAUGAAUUUUUCUCCUUGUGUGUUAAGUAACUUAGGAUGUACGUGAGUCAUGGUUUAAGGGGGGGAUUGUCCUAAGAUGGUUUGUAUUUAGUGAUGGUUGGUUGAUAUUGUUUCAGGUGUCCAAGAGAUUUCGAAAGGAAUUCCGGCAUGGAACAGUAAACAGCUUGCUUGCUCGUUUGCUUUUGAUUUUGGUGAGUGUCAAGUGCAUGUCUUAUUGCACACUAAUUUUGAUGAUACUUGUUGAUUGUGCUAAUUAAACUUGUUGAGACGAGUGUGUACUUUAUCUCACUCGUCUUCUCCUGUUUGAUUUGAUAAUUUACUUGCUCGUACUUGACAAAUAUACUUGUGCUUGUGCUUGACUUGGCGUUGAUUUGAUAGCAAUCUCAUCGACUUAUACUUGAUCUUAGGGGCCCCAAAACCCAAUGGCUAGCCAUUCAAUUCAAGCCAGCAAGGGUUUGGUUGAGGAGUUUGGUGAACUUUGUGCUUGUGUACUUGACUUGUUUGGAUAUACCCGAGUAAUACCAUAUCUUGUUUGACGUGCGGGCCCGCCAGGGGGUGUAACGAUGGACAAAAAUUGAUAAAAAGUGGGAUUCUACGGACUUGUUAUUUACUUGGGUGACGGAGUGUCAACAUUUGGAAAUCAUGAUUCAAAAAGUAUCGGUGUAGCUUGAAUUGUGGAUUUAAAUCCUGAGAGCUCCUAUAUCCUUUAGUGAUUAUGCUUUUAUUUUCUCUUGUGAAUUUUACGUAAAAUAUUAUGGCUGUCCUUCUUGAUUUAUAUAUUCUUAAUGCUAAUUGUACUCGUUUGUUUGCCUGUUUUUCUUAAUUUUACUAAGCGUUAGUUCACCCCUUUAAGUUUGAUUUCCUUAACAAGAUCUUGAAGUGGAGAGAUUUGUUUGAAGACGCUGGCUUUGAUUAUAUUUUGAACUAGUUAUGGAUGUAAAUGAUUUAACUGAUCUUUUGGUAGAUGUAUUUUUGGGACGCUUGAUGUAAUUUUUGGAAAUAUUAUGGUGUAGAAUUGAACGACUUUUGAAGGAAGCGAAUUCUUUUUUAUAUUAGUAUCUUCUUGGUUGAGUAGUUCUAAAUUAUAAAUUUGGCUUGUAGUGAGUCCUAACGAGAGUUAGGCAAGCGACUCGCCGAAACCCUAAGGAGAAGUGGGGUCGUCACACUUCUCCCCCUCAUCAUCAAGUUUUUUUCUUAAUUGAUCAGGAAUGUAGGAAUAGGCAAUACAUCCAAAAACUCUGAGAUGACCAAAAAAUGGUUUUCUACCACUCCAAACUUCUUUAGGAGUUUUUCGGGGAACACUUCUGGUAGGACACCUGUUUAACAGAUAAAUUGCAUAAAAAAUUGCUUCUGCCCAAAAAGGUAUUUGGCAUAUUUUUCACCUCAAUAUACACCUCACCAUAUCCAUAAUUGUCAUAUUCUUCCUCUCUGCCACUUCAUUUUGUUGGGGAGUGUACCUGGUAGUCAACUAAUGUUGUAUCCCAUUUUUCUGAAAAAAAUCAUCACACACCAAAUAUUCCUGACCACUAUCUGUUCUCAAAAUUUUAAUCUGACGCCCACUCUGCCUCUCAACAAAAGUUUUAAAAAUUUAAAAAGUGUCACAGGUAUCAGAUUUUUGUUUGAAAAAAUAUACCUAGGCUUUUCUACUAAAAUCAUCAAUAAAGGUAAUAAAAUACCUGCAACCACCAUCAGAAGGAACCUCCACAAUGCAUAAAUUUGAAUGAAUAAUUUCUAAUGAUCUUCUGGCCCUCCAUGAUUUACCAGUAUGAAAAGUAUCCCUAUGUUGUUUUCCCAAAAUGAAUAUAUCACAAACUCUACCAGGAUUUCUAAUAUUAGGCAAUCCACCAACCAUUCUUUUAUUUGUCAAAAAUUUCAAAUUGUCAAAAGUCAAAUGACCAAAUCGCAUAUGCCACAACCAAUUACUGUCAUCUUUCACUGUACUCAAACAAGAAAAUUGGCACUACUCAAAUUUAGUGGAAAUAAGCGAUUUGAAAUCAUUGGUACAUUGGCAAUCAUUCCAAUAUUUUUAUCAAAAAUAGUACAAUACCAUUCCUGAUACAAAUAUCAUUUUUUUUCUCAGACAACUGGCUCAUACUCAACAAAUUUUGAUGCAACCCAGGAACAUAGAAAACAUCAGAAAUAAAUUAGUAGAUCCAUUUUUCAGGCUAAUAGGAAUUUUUUCCUUAGCAAUCAUUGGUAAAACAAUGUUAUUUUCAAAUUUAACUUCACCACAAAUAGAUUCAUCAAGUUCAACAAAUAAUUCCUUCUUGCCAGACAUAUGGUUACUACAAUCCGUAUCCAAAUACCAUUUAUUUUUAUCAACCACAUCAACAACAAUACAGACUAAUAAUAAAGUAUCAGAUUUUUUAUUAUUAUCCUGCACCUGAUUGUCAACAACAUUAGCCUGAAAAUUUCUGUCUAUAUUUUCUCCAAAUCUACAUUCAAAUUGUCUAUGACCUAAUUUUCCACAAUUAUAACAUUGAACUCUCUGUCUAAAAUUAUUCUGAUUAAAAUUAUUUCCUAUGCCAAAAUUACCACCUCUGCCUCUACCAGGACCACCUCUAAAAUUGAAAUUAUUAUCUCUAUUGCGUCCAGAAUUUGAUAUACUUCCUCGAUCUCUAUUAUUAUUGCCACGACCACCUCUGUUAUUGUAACCACUUCUGCUCUUCUGACUGAAUUCGCCAUGCUCCCUGACAUCAUUAUUGCCUCUCAAAUUCAACUGCACCUGCAACGCCUUCUCUACUGUAUCCUUCUCCGGGGCAUCCUCCAAUUUUUCAUUAAUUCUUUGUUCAUGCAGAAUUAAUGAUCCAUGCAAAUCUUCUAUAUUCAAAUCCUCCAAAUCUUUCGUUUCCUGAAUUACAGAUACCACAUGAUCAAAUUUCAUGGGUAGGGUAUUGAGAACUUUCUCAACAAAUGAUCUAUCAGGAAAAUUAUACUGAUUGAGUUUCAUCUCGUUUUUAAUAUCUGACAACCCAAAAAAAUAGGACUCAAUAGAUUCGGACUUCUCCAUCGUCACAAGUUCAAAUUUCCUCUUCAACAUCAUUAAAUUAUUUUGUUGGACCUUGUCAAUCCCUUUGUAUGUUUUCUCCAAUAUAUCCCAAGCCUCCUUUGCCAUAUCAGCCGUAGCAAUUUUUUCAAAAACUGACAUAUCACUUGCCUGAUGAAUUUGUGAUAAAGCCAAUCUGUCUUUUGUCUUAUCAUCCUCACUAGCAUCUUGGACAAGUGCAGAUUUAAUAUAUUGAUGUAAUUUACAUGCCUUGAGAUGGGUUACCAUUUGUUUCUGCCAAAAAUUAAACUUUGCUGUUGUUUUGAAUUUUUGGACAGAACAAAUAAUAUUGGGGUUAGGGUUUGCCAUACUUCAAUCUACCGUAACUCUGGUACCACUUUGAUGGACCCAAAUUAAUAACAAAUUAUAAACCCACAGAAAAAUAUUCAAGAACAACGAAAGAGAGGCAAAGAGAAAUUUUUCUCAACUAUUCACGUGGCGCGAUUGCGUGGCUUUUCUUUUACACACCCUAACAAAUGCUUCUAAGGAUGGCAGCCACCCGCCCCGCAGGGGGCUAAUAGGCAUGGCCACCCGUCUUUAAAAAAUUUCCCCCGCUUUAAAAAAUAAAUAUAUAAAAAAUAUAUAAUUAUAUAUAAAAAAUAUAUAAUUAUAUAUAAUUAUACAUAAAAAAUAUAUAAUUACAUACUUCAAUCUACUGUAGUUCUGGUACCACUCUGAUGGACCCAAAUUAAUAACAAAUUAUAAACCCACAGAACAAUAUUCAAGAACAACAAAAGAGAGGCAAAGAGAAAUUUUUCUCAACUAUUCACGCGGUGCGACUGCGUGGCUUUUCUUUUACACACUCUAACAAAUGCUUCUAAUGGGGUAGGGGCAGGGGGAAAAAAUUUUCCCCCGCUUUAAAAAAUAAAUAUAUAAAAAAUAUAUAUGUAUAUAAUUAUAUAUAUGAUAUAUAUAAUUCAAUUAAUUAUAAACUUAUGAAAAUGAUAUUAUUAGUUAUAUGUAUUAUAUAAUGUAUAUUAGCAUAUGUAAUAUAAUUGAUAUUAUCAAUUAUACUAAUAAUUAUAUAUGUGUACUAAUACAAAUUAUUAAUUGGUUAUACUAAAUUUACUAAUAUAUUUACACUAAAUCCCUAAUUACACUUAAUACAAUAGCAUUUUUUCUCAAAAAAAAGCACAAACACAAUAAUGAAUUAGUGAUUGUAUUUGUGCCAAAAGUGAAAACUUGACUACUUUAGUUGUAUUUUAUUUCAUCAUGUUGGAUUGUAUUCAUAUAAUUUUUGUUUGAUUAUUUUUAUAAGUUUCAAUUGUGAAAUUAUAAUGAAUUAUAAUUUAGUGAUAUGUUGAUAUUUUGAUACUUGAUUAUUUGUUAAAAUUUAACUAUAAUAAAUUUUUAUUACCCCGCGAGUGGAAGCGGGGUAAGGGAAUUUGUAGGCAGUCCCCCGCCCCAACCCCGCCUGUUGCCAACCUUAGAUGCUUUUGACACCCCUUUCACAAUUGACGUAGAGGCUAUAUCUAAUACACCCCUUGUGCCUUAUACAAUUACUAGUGCUAUACCUUAAUGGAAGUAAUCUCGUGUGACUUCGUCUAUAAAACUAACAAUGCUACUAACAUCAUUAACUAAUAAGCUAAUACCAUAUGGCCAGCAAAUAAGUCUAACCAAUAAAUUUGGUUUAAUGUUCUACAAGUUUUAAUGUGUUUCUUUUUUUGUUAAUUUUCUCUUCAAAAAACUUGACGGAGUGACAAUAUUAUUAUUUCUGUUUUCUAUUUUUGAGUUUUUUCGGCGGCCAAAACAACAUCGUCCUUUGUAAGCUCGUUGUGGCUUACUUUUCAUCGUCCAUUUGGCAAAUUAAUCUCAUCUAUUGAAUUGUAUAAAAUAGAAAGUGAGCCAAAUUGUGAAGACCCGGAUCCGUCUCUGUGGGUUUUUGACUCGUUUAGAUAGACACAAAAUGCCUUGCCACGCCUUCCAAUCCCCAAUACAUUGUUGAAUAUACCCACCACCACCAACGAAAUUUUGAUAACCAGUUUGCUUGUUUAUAUCACGGAAUGAAGAAAAGCCUUCCCGAUAUAUUGACAAUUUAAAUUGAUUAAGAAUAACCAUAAAGCUGACCAAUGGUGGACAUAACAUGAACAACCUGUCUUUUUUAAAGUCAGAAAUGGUUGACCAGCUUUUGCUUUACCGUGAACCUUUUCUAGCCGGUGAAUCUAUUAUGGACCAUUGGAUCAGUUCAAUAUAAUCGGAGGGUGAUUAUGAUGGUGAUCUAGAAUAGUUGACCAAGACUUUUACUACCUCUCGAGAACAUCAAAUUGUUGAAUCUCCGUUGAAUUUUCGCCAUGUGGAAUUAAUACUCCACAAGUCGUGCAAUUAGCUGAUCGCAAUUAAUGAUGAGAAAAUACGGCCUCAUUUGUAAAAGUAGUCAACUCAGAGAUGAAUAACGUGGGUUUUACUUUUGCUUUUACGUGACCAACCGAGUUGACUGGCUGAGUCGUCACUCGGUUUCGUAUGUGUUUGGAUGUAGAAAUUGUAAACAUUUAUUGCCUAGUCACAAUUGAAAAAUCUUAAGCUAAACACAUACAAUUUAUAUGACAUAUAAAAAUUAAAAGAUGAUUCACCUGUUUAAGAAUUCUUAUAUUUGUAUAUAUCAUUUAGAUAUAAAAUGUUUUUGAAAUUAUUUUUAAUUGGUGAAAUCAUCUCGAUUUAUUAUUAGGGUAAAAUACAGAAAACCUUCUUUUGAUUUGACUAUUUAACACGCUACCUCCUCAUUAUUUAAAAACACUCACACUACCCCCUCGUGCUUUGGACUAAAGUGAAAUUUGACCGAUAACCUAUAUGUUACCUGCAAGUGAUGCAUUAUUUUUUUUAAUAUUUUUUAUUUUAUUGUCAUUUUUUCUUUCAAUUUUGAUGCUUUGACUUAACUAUCAUAAGUAUUUUUACAAAUUUGAGAAAUUAGUGAUGCACUUUUAAAAUUUUCUAAAAAUUAUUCAUAUCGUCUUACUAUUGGACGCGGGGCUGGAGUGGUUGUCAGAACAACCGCUCCGGAAGGUGUAACACCAUUUGCACAUGGUGUAACAUCAUCUGUACAAGGUGUAACAAUAGAACAACAACGAGUAACAUUAGAACAACAUUUUUAUGGAUCCCACACGGCGUGAAAAUCGAGUUACAAGAUGUGAUCUGAGUAGCACAAAUUUUUUAGGCCUCAUCCAGGCCGUGAACUGCUUGGGACGGUUGUCAGAGACAACCGCCCAGGCCCCUCGUCCCUUACUUUUUUGCUCUGUUGUCUCUCUCUAUUGACGUCAGUCACCACCACCUGCAGCUUUGUCUCCUAAGAUUCUUCCAAAAACAAUGCCCCCAAAAUCCAAAUUCACCCAAAUAUCCAAGAAAAAAUUUCAUGAAUUUCAUAAGCUUCCAUCAUAAAAUUCUUGAAAAAGUAGACAAAUCAGAUGAGUGAAAAUGGCAUCCCUCUUCAUUUUUCGUUUUUUGUCCCAUAAUCCGUUAACCGCCAAAUGAUCCACAAGAAAGACAGCAGGAAUCAAACCUAGUUAACCAGUUUUGAAAGCCAUUAAAAGAAAUCAAAUUCAAGGUAAUUAUCAGAAUUUUGCUGAAAGGGCAUAGCUCCAGGAGCAGGCUUUUCACCAGUUGACGCUGUUGGGACUGGAAUCUUCUCAAUCUCGAAUGGCCUUGGGAUCUCUGGAGGGCUUGCACAACGAAUCAGAGCCCAAUUUACACCUUCAAAGAAGGGAUGCUGCUUAAUUUCAGUUGCCCCACGUUGGUAUCCCAACCUAUGUUGUGGCUCUUUUACUAGCAACCCUCUUAUAAGAUCUCUAGCUGAAAAACUGAUGACAGGAGACUCUGGAAAUCGAAGGGGCUGCCCGACAACAUUGAAUAAAGUCGCUCGAUUCCCAGUUCUGGUGGAGGGGAUGAUGUUGAGAAGUGGUGGAGGGGGAAGGGAAGCAGGAGAGAUGAGGAAAAAGAAAGAAAAGUUGAAAAUGAAAAAAAAAAGGAGAAAGAAUAAAAAAAUAAGCAGAUGCUAAGACCACCUUGCUUCGAUAUUGUGAGUUGUGGAGAAUGUGUAAUGGAGGAAGAAGGAGAGGAAUAAUAGAAAAGAAAAGGAAAAAAGAGGAAAGGAAAGGAAAAUAAAAGAAAAAAGAAAAAAAUUAAUAAUAGACAAGGUUCCGGUUCACACAGGUCAAAAAACGUAAUUCUACUCUAGUCCAAACCACGAGGGGAUAGCGUGAAUAUUUUUAAAUAAUGAAAAAGUAACGUGUCAAAUAGUCAAACCAUAAGAAGGUUUUUUGUAUUUUAUCCUUAUUAUUAAGAUCCUCCGAUUUUAUAAUUUCAAAUGCUUUAAAAAUGAGCUAUUUUGAUAUGUCUACACUUCUAUGUUUAGAUUUUAGUUUUUCCAAUAAAAAUUUAAAACCUAAGGUACUAUUGCUAAUUCUAAUUAAUUUUUUAACAAAAUAUAAAUCAAUCGAGAACAUAUUUGAAAAUUACGAGCUAAAGUUGCGUAUAGUAUUUUUUACGAAUUAUUCUUUACUUUUUGUCCGGCACCACAUGGUAUUUUUUUGAUUAAUUACAUCUGCUUCCCUUAAAAUUUAAUCAAAUUACCAAUCAAACCUCGAGAUUUGAUCACACAAGAGUCUAAGUCCCUAGAUGAACAAACAUUUAACUAAAAGCCCAACCAUAUUAAGCCGUUAAAGAUGCAGCUUAUGUCAGCAAAAAUUUAAUAUGACAAUCCAAAAAUGUCUUUAGCAGGUCGAAAUGUCAUCACAAUCAUACUUGCCUAUGACUUGCAUUUUGUUAGAUCCGAUUUUUCAAAAAUUCAAUGAUUCAGAUUAUAUCAAAUCAGCUCAUCAAAUAAUAUGACACAAUCUAGAUCAUUAAAUUUAUGAAGAUCAGAUUUACUUAAAUUUUGACCUUUACUUAUUAGCAAAACAAAAAACAUAUCCUUAACACUAAAUUAGAGGGUUUAAAACAACUGAAAAAAAACAAAGAUUAUUAAUCACACAAGGGCCAAAGUAGAAUCUAGUGCAACCAUGCAAGUAACAUUUUUUUCCCCAAUGAUUCCACUUUGAUCUGGCUAAUUAGGUGUUCAAAAUAAAUGAACUCAAAAUUCAGAACCUCAAAACUAUUACGUAUUACAUUAGUAUUACUUUGCAAUGAGAAGUAUCCUAACACGCAUGAAUCCGUUCUCGCUGUUAUUCUUGGUCAACAUUUCACUUGCCACUUGACUGAAAGCCUUCGUCUUCCCUUUUAUUUUUCGAAAAAAAAAAAGCAUCUUUUUAAAUCAGUUCAUUUCCCUUGCUUGCUAAUUGUUCCAUGAUGCAUAUUACGUUCCUAUUUUUUUUUUUUUUUUUGGGCUUUUGGGCUAGUUUCCUUAUCUCGAUUUUGUGUCUAAAAAUUUCAAGAAUUGAUGGAUUCGAAAUCUGAUGGAAUUGUUUUAAGAUUUGGGACUUUGACUUUUGAUUUGUGAAUCCCUGAUAUUCUUUUUACUGAUUUGUUGCUUGAUUGUGUUUCACGCUUAAAGAGAAGCAUUUUGCAAUAAAAGUUGUGGCUUCUGGUCUUGAUUUGCGUGGUGGUGGAGAGGAGGAGCCGCCACGGAAUUAUGCUCGUUUGGGCAGCUCUACAGCGACUCUUGGCCGAAUCUAGACCAGAUUUGCGGUCUACGUGAAAAAUCGAGUUUAGUGUGCAAACUUUGCAAAAUUCAGUCGCUCUCCUGAGGUUGCAGACAUAGGUCGAGGAUGGUUGGCGGCGGAUCACAACAACUAGCUGCUGCUGCUGUCGCCUGCUGGCGUUGGUACCCAUGGCUGCCACCUACAAGCUUCUGAAAACAUUAGCAGGAAGGGAUGACAAAUAAAAUAAUAAAGAAAUUAAGAAAUAGUAAGGGAUAAUUUCAUAAGGGAUAAUUGCAGAAACCUCCCCUGACUUUUAUAGUAAUGGCAUUGACCUCCCCUAUCAAUUUUGAAAUAGCAUUGACCUCCCCUAUCAAAAGUUUGAGGUAAUUUAAUAGGCAAAAGUGGGUCAAUUUACUAAAGUACCCCUGACAUGAUUUAAUUUUACCAAAUGAAUGUGAUGAGUACUUUCAUCAAACCCAACAAAACAUUUGUUAAUAAAAAUUACACUAAAUUAACUAUUUCUGCAUAGUUUAACUAAUUAACUAAUUAACUAAAUAACUAAUAAUCUAAUUAAUUAAUAACUAAUUAUCUAAUUAACUAUUAACUAAUUAACUAAUUAUCUAAUUGUUAAUAGUUAUUAACUAAUCAAACUAUUUCUGCAUAGUUAAACUAAUUAAAUAUUAACUAAUUAUCUAAUUAACUAUUAACUAAUUAACUAAUUUCUAUUUAUCUAAUUAACUAAUUAAUUAAUUAUCUAAUUAACUAAAGCUGUUAUCUGUCCGAAACUAACAAACUAUUUGCAUGUUAACCUACUUAACUAAUUAACUGCUUAACUAAUUAACUACCUAAUUAUCUAAUUAAUUAAUUAACUAAUUAACUAAUUUUUGUUUAUCUAAUUAACUAAUUAUCUAAAGUAAGAAUAUUGAUAUUACUGUAACACUUUUUGAAUUUUACUUACAAACAUUGAUGUUUUUAUCAUAAAUUAAAUGUUUGAAAGUAAAAUACCCAUAAAGAACCGAUACUUUAAAUAGAUAAUGCGUACUGCAUAUAGUUUAACAUGCAAAUAGUUUUUUAAUUAGUUAGUUAGUUAAUUAGUUAAUUAGUUUAACAUGCAAAUAGUUUGUUAGUUUCGGAUAGUCAACAACUUUAGUUAAUUAGUUAAUUAGAUAAAUAGAAAUUAGUUAAUUACUUAAUUAAUUAAUUAGAUAAUUAGUUAGUUAAUUAGUUAAGCAGUUAAUUAGUUAAUUAGUUUAACAUGCAAAUAGUUUGUUAGUUUCAGAUAGACAACAGCUUUAGUUAAUUAGUUAAUUAGUUAAUUAGUUUAACAUGCAAAUAGUUUGUUAGUUUUGGAUAGACAACAACUUCAGUUAAUUAGAUAAACAAAAAUUAGUUAAUUAGAUAAUUAGGUAGUUAAUUAGUUAAGCAGUUAAUUAGUUUACCAUGCAAAUAAUUUGUUAGUUUCGGACAGACAAUAGCUUUAGUUAAUUAGUUAAUUAAAUAAUUAUUUAAUUAGUUAAUUAAUUAAUUAGAUAAUUAGUUAAUUAGUUAAUAGUUAAUUAGAUAAUUAGUUAAUAAUUAAUUAGUUUAACUAUUAACUAAUUAGAUAAUUAGUUAAGCAAUUGUCAAGCAAAUAAUAAUUGUCAAGCAAGUAAGGGCAAAAUUGGAAGAAAAUUCUUAUCUCACUUCUACAAAAGCUGUCAGGGAGGUCUCUGCAACAAAUUGUUACUGUUCAGGGGAGGUGAAUGCAAUUUUUAAACCUAGAGGGGAGGUCAGUGCAAAUGUCAGAAAUUUCAGGGGAGAUUUCUGCAAUUAUCCCAUUUCAUAAACCUCCCUUGGGGGUUUCCGACAAUUUCACUCAGCUCCCCCCAAUUUUAGAAAAUUACAUCGACCUCCCUUGUUUUUACUAUUUAAGGGUCUGUUUGAUAAUAUAAAAAAAGUGCUGAAUCUGAAUUUUUUCAGACAUUCAGAUGUUUUGACUGUUUGAUAAAUGAAAAUUCAUUUGCUGAAUUUACUAAGUAGUGCUGAACUUGUGUGUAUUUUUUUCAGCACAAGAAUCCUAACUGAAUGCUUAAUUCUAAUAAGAAUCAAUAAAAUUAUUUCAAUUACCUUAUCUUAUCUAGCAAAUCUACCCUUGUUUGUUAAUUAUGUUCAAAAUUUUUGUUUAAUUAAACAACCUAAUAUUUUCUAUCUAAUGAUUUUCUAUUUCUUUUUUCUCCCUUUUGAAUGACUUUCACAUCUUUUGCAUACUUCUCAUAUAAUAUAUUUCAUCUUUUAUAUUAAUUUGAUUUAAAAAUAAAUAUUGUCAUUUUCAUACCUAACAUUUUUAACUAAUUAAAUCAUAGGUUCUAUUUCUUUUUUGGAUGAAAAGAUAUAAGGGCAAAAUUGUCAAAUUUAACUUAUUAAGUAUUUAGUUAUAAAUAUUUAUCAAACAGUAUAAAUAGGCUUAACAUUAAAAUUCAGACAUUCAUACAUUUCUUUUUAGUGCUUAAAAUUCAGCAAAUUAAUUGUUUCAAUAUUCAGAUUUUAAAAUUUAGACUUCAGAAUUUAGAUUUAGUUUUAUCAAACGGAACCUAAGUAAUAUUAUAGACCCAUUAGGCUAGAAUUAUACUUAAAUAUCCUAAAAUACCCUUAUGCAAUAUCAUAACAUCAAAAGAAAGUGGAAAAAAGGUUUAGUGAUGAAUUUAAUAAAAAAAAAAGUAACAAACACUUUUAUCCAAGUUUAUUAUGCUUCCACGAUAAUUGUAAACCCAAAACCUUAUCAACCUUUCAAGCAAAUUCCAAUUUAAUUUCCAAAUUCCAUUAAUUUUGGUAUCACUAAAAUCCCAAAUUUUACCAAAAUUGCACUUCAAUUUAAUCCCUAAAUUCUAUCAAUUUCGGCAUUAUCAAAAUCCCAAACUCUACUCACAUCACUUUAAAAAUAGACCAUAACUGCCAUCACCAACUAAAAUACCCUCAAAAGCUUCCCACCCCAAAUUAACACUAUAUUUGUCUAUUGACUAAUCUCACACCUCAAAUUAUGAAUCCAACACCUAGUGCAUAUCAUCUUCCUUGAACAGAAGACCUGGCCAACCACUAUUGAUGUCUAUGCCAAGAGCAACCCCAUACUCCAAUAGCAUUAGGAACAAAGAAACUAAUCUUUAUGACAAACAACCACUAAUACUUGUAAAUCAAACAAAAAUAAAACUAAAUGAAGACAUUAGAUUCUAGUGCGUAAUUGACAUGAUAGCAUAACCCAGAGUUAUCCCUUUUUCUCUUCCAACUAUAGCCCAUUAAUUUCAUUUUUUUUCCUCUCUAUCACAACCAUCUUCAUCAUCUCCAUCCAAUUUGGCCAUGAAAUUUUCAUUUGCUCCUUCAAUUUGUAAUUUUGGAAAUUUUAAUUCUUUAAUAUAUGCAAAUUAUAAUACGAGAAGAAAUAAGCGAGGGGGUUGAUAGUCAAGUAACACGGAAAGAGAGAAAUAGACAAGAAAUAAACAUUUCGGGUAGGUUUGCAUGGUGGUGUAAUUGAUGGGUGGAAGAAACUGUGAGGUUAUAGGUAGGAAGGAGAGAAUUAUAAGAGGUAGAAAAAAAAAGGGAGGGAAAGAGAAAAAAAAAUUUGCUGUUAAUUAAAGUAGAGUUGGGAAUGAUGGCGAGUUGUUGUAGGUUUUUAUGGGCCUGUUUGGAACCUUGAUUUUUUGUCAAGUUUGUAUGAUACUAGUUUUUUAACAACUUUUACUACAAGAACUCCAAAAACUUAUCAAAAUUUUUAAUCUACACACUUUAAAAUAUCCAAAACACAAAAAAUCCAAAAUUUCCUUUCUCUUUUCUUCUUCUUCCUCCCCCACCCCAACUGCCCACCACCUCCGCUGCUGGUUCUGGCACCGAUCACCUCUUCCGGUGCCGAUCAUUUUUUUUCCCUUUCUCCCUCUCCCCCUCUUCCUCCCCUUUUGCCCGGUUCUGAUCCUUUCUCUUUUUUUUUUCUCCUCUUCCUCUCCUCCACUCCUUCCCUACCACCCUUCCCUUUCCCCUAUGGCCGGUCGCCAGACCAAAUCGUACAGAGGAGGGGUGGGGGUGGCGGGGGAAGAGGAGUAGAGGGGAGAAGAAAAAUUGCAAAAAAAAAAAAAAAAAUUCCGCGGCCGGCAGAUUGAGCAGAGACGGGAGAGGGGAAGGGGGAUGGGGAGAGAGGAGGAGAGGGGUGGUGGGGGAAGGGGAAGAGGGGUGGCGAGGGAAGGAAGGGGAAGGGGAGAGGGGGUGCCCUUCCCCUCUGGCCGGUUGCCAGACCAGAUCGCAUCGAGGGAGGGUGAGGGUGGCGGGGAAAGGAGAGUAGAGGGAGAAGGAAAAAUUACAAAAAAAAAAAAAAAAAAUUCCGCGCCUUCAGAUGAGCAAAGGCGGGCGAGGAAGGGGGAUGGGAGAGAGGAGGAGAGGGUGGCGGGGAGGGAAGAGGGGUGCAGAGGAGUCAGAGGGUGGCGAGGGAGAAGGGAGAAAUGGGUGCAGGGGGCAGAGGGGUGCUGGGGAGAGGGGAGAAGAGGGGUGUGGAGGAGGGGGGUGUGGGGUGGGGAGGAGGAAGGAAGGAAGGGGAAGGGGAGAGGGAGAAAGAGGGGGGGGGGGAGGAGAGAAAAGGGCGGGCAUGAGAGGGGGGAGAAAAAAAGCAAAAAAAAAAAAAAUUGCAGUAAAACCCAAUACUGCAUUGGCAGUGAUCUGAAGAGGGAACGGGGACGGGGAAAGGGAAGGGAGAAGAAGCAGGAAGGGAGGAAGGAAAAGAAAAAAGAAAAAAGAAAAAGAAAGAAAGAAAAAGAAAAGGAAAAAAAGUUUUUCAUCACACAAAAAGUUUUUCUACAACUUCUAAAAAAUUUUUUUUCAUCUUACAAAGUUUUUCUACAAUUUCUACAGUGAUCUACAGUAAAAUUUUAUACAAACACCCAAAAAACCCACCUUUCAAACAGGCCCUAUGUUUUCUUUUACUUUUGGUUUGGUUUUUGUAUCCUACAUAUGUGGUAAACUAUCUAUUUUUUUAUGUGGUAAAUUAUCUAUUAAGUAGAGGGUAUUGUAGUCAUUUUAUUGAAUCGAGAGAUAUUAGUGUAAUUUUCUAAAAUUGAGGGGAACUAAGUGAACUUGUCAGAAUCCUCCUCAAGGGAGGUUUCUGAAAUUAUCCCAAAUAGUAAAUGAGAAUUUAUUGAGAAAGUGCGACCUAGAAAGCUUAUGAAACAUUAGCAGGAAGGGAUGAAAAAUAAAAUAAUACUUAAAAGAAAUUAAGAAAUAGUAAAUGAGAAUUUAUUGAGAAAGUUGUUUUAACCUAUGGUCCUUUAGUCUUUUCACUAUUUCCGUCCCAGGUACUUUAACAGAAGUUAGUUAUAGAUUGGGGGAUAGGUGUUAUUUGGCCAGAACUUGGGGUUCAUUUGGUAGUUUAGUCAAAUCUUAAGGAACGUAAAUGUAAUUAACCUUUUUUUUUUUUUUAACAUGCACCACAUGGCAAUUACGAAGUAUAUUUCAACUUUAAUCAUAUUAUCUAUGCUGCACACUUGUACUGGGUCUUCCUUCAUGUGUUUACAGAUUUUUGGACUCUUGAAAUUAGAAUGGGUCAAUGGCUUGUGCCCUUGAAACAAGAAGGGUCCAAAUGUUAUUCAUUUGUCAAAUGUUUGAAAAGAUUGCCAUGUUGAACUGAACCAAUCAUGAAAGCACUAAAUUCCUAUUUGAUUCAGUUACCGGGUUGACAAGACAAAUGAAGGAUUGCCAAGCAACAUACAAGAAAAACAAAGCUAACUCACUUUGUUAAAUUGGCCAUGGAGGGGCCUCAGAGUUAACCUGGGAGUGUUUAGUUAAGAGUGAUUUGUGAGUGCCAGGUCAUGUGAGUGCCAGGUCAGCGUGUGCAUGGCUUAUUAGAUUAAGGUAGUGAUUGUUUGCAAAGAUUAAUGGUGGGAAAGUGAAGGAAAGUUUGUUAACUUCUUUCUAUUACGUUGUGUUUGUUUAGAGAAAAGUUAGAAAAAUUUACUGCAUAUAUAUAUAUAUAUAUAUAUAUAUAUAUAUAUAUAUAUAUAUAUAUAUAUAUAUUAUGUUCAUUGCCCUGCAAAUUUGGUAUGCUUGUGGAGAAAAAUAGCUCGUUAGACAUAUUUUUUAAAAUGAUUAUCACUAACUUUUAAUGCUGUCUUGCAAAUUUUUUAGGAUUGUAAAGGAAGAUAGAUAAUUACGCACAUUUUUUAAAAAUAACUACCACUAAUUUUCAAUAACUUUGCACUUUCUCUAAAAUUUUUUCUUGCUAACCAAAUAUACAUGGGAAAUUGGUUCUUAUUUUCAUUUAUCUUACUUUUCCAUACAAUUUUCUCUCUAUUCAAACAAAGUCUGUUUUCUAGCUGUUAGGGGAAAACAAAAGAAAAACAAAACUUACCCGCACGCACACAAUAAAAAGAAGGAUGAAUUACCUUAUACCUAUCUGUGAUUUGGUGCUUUAUCAUAUAAUUUCCUAUAACUUAAAAUCUAUAUAUAACUCCCUCAUAAUAUAGAUUAAAGUGUCAUUGUUAGUUUUUCCGUUAAAACUAACAAUCAAUGAUAAAAAGUCAAAAUCAAAUUACUAAAUUGAGAAAUCAUUACUUUUUUUUUUUCUUUUUCCUUCUCUCUCUCUCUCUCUCUCUCUAAUUUUUUUUUCUUUGGAGAAAGGAAGAGAUGAUUUUGAAAACUUAUAUUUUAGCCUACACAAUCUUAAUUUUCUUCAAAUACAAAAGAGAUGGUAGGGAAAUAAAAAAGGACUAAUCUUUCAUAUACUGAUAUUGUAUACACUAAUAAGUGUGUUUAGAUAGAAUAUUAUUUGAAAUAAUUAUUGUAGCAUUUUUUAUAAUGUAAUGUAUAUAAGAUAAAAAUGUGGUUAGCAAUAUAAAAAGAUGGGUUGGAAAAUAUAUUUAUGAUAUAAGCAAAAUAUUUUUUGAAAAAAAUUGGCUAUCCAAACACUCUCACUGUCAAUUUUGGAUGAAUGACAACUAUGUAAAAUUUGAAUUUGAAACCUAAUUUUUGCACGUGUCAUGAUUCCAACGGUAAUAGUGUAUAUACUAUUAGCGUGUAUAAUAUUUACUUAAUAAAAAAUAAAUAAGAAACAAAAAAGAUGGAAGGCAAAUGUAAAAAAAUAAAUAAAUAACAAAAAACACCAAAUCUUUUUUGACUACAAAUAUCAUUAUUGGUUUUUAAACCAAAUCUUUAAUGGUAUUUUCUAGUUCUUAUUUAUCUGUGUUUAUAUUUCAAUUUCUUCUUUUUUAUGUUUGGAGGAAAAAAAAGAAGAAAUGAAAGCACAAAUUUGUUAAUUUAUUAGUUUGAUUUCGACUUUUUACUAUUGAUAAUUAGUUUUAACGAAAAAACUAAUGGUGACACAUUAACCCAAACCAUGAGAGAGUUAUAUAUAGAUUUUUAAAUCAUAAGGGGGUUAUGUGAUAAAAUACCAAAUUACAGGGAUAAAAGGUAAUGUACCCAUUAUAUAUAUAUAUAUAUAUAUAUAUAUAUAUUUAUAUCUAGUACCAAUUGGUGGCUCCGAGUUGGUCGGUCAAUUGCUGGUCUAGGGCCUCCAGGCUGCACAACCAAAUAGAGGGUCCAGAUUGAAUACACAUUAUUAACUGCUAGGGCUUGAUAACCAUUUCGACAUGAAAUCUUUUUGUUGCUUUUAUUUAUUUAUUUAUUAGUUAUGUAGUUAGGGAGACUAGAACCCCAACUUAGCACCCAAGGGGAACUUAAGUCCCUCCUUCUGGCAAACUCUCAAUCCUAAAUUCCUUUAACAAUUUGAAUUUUUCUAGUUUAGAAUAUGAAAAUUUCGAUAGGGUAUGGUUUGUCAUUAUGAAAACUCACAAUUAAAAUAAAGGUUUUUCUAAUGAGUACUCCUAAGGCACUCAUUAAAAUAUCUAAAUUACACUUAAUUUGUUACAUGAAUGUACACAUUCACAUUUAUUAUCUCCAUACAUUUAGAUAUUGUCUCAAAUUAGUUUAACUCUUGUAAAAAAAUUAAUAUUAUGCAAAAGUAUCUUAACGAGUUUUUGGGUUCGAACCCUUUUACUUAUACUAGAAAAAUAAAAAUAAAAUAAAAAGAGCUCCCUGGUGAUUAACGGGACACUAAUUAAACAAAACCUUAAAAGUUAUUAAGGAACCCAUGUUCAAUUUUUUGUUGUCUUUCCUUUUUAGUUCAAAAUUUUCAAACACCAAUACCUAAAAAUGAAAAUUUUUUCCUUUGAUCUAGGGGCACAUUUACAAACUAUGGGGUAAUUUUUUUUUUUUCAGAAUAUUGUACCUCGAACUGCUAUUUUGUUUCUAUUCCUUCUCUGUUGUAAAUGGGUAUGUAAUCGUGUUGGCAAUCAUGUUACCCAUUUUAAUCUGCAUUGCACAAUGAAUUUAGAUGUGGAGGUUGUGUCAGAAAAUUCUUCCCCCUCGUUGUUCGCUGCACAGUCUUAGUUAGCCAAUCCAUCCUAAAGAUUAUAUCUAUUGAUGAUAACAUUGUCAUCGUCAAAACGAAAAGGAAAUUCACACACUAAGCAAUGUUGCCAUAUGUAGGUAAAAAGAAUAAUUCAAAUUUAUUGAAAGAGAUAGAAUUUGUUUGAAGACAGAAAUUUGAAGUACAUUUGAUUGGAGCUUCGAGGAGAACUAAAAGAGAAAUAGAUAAAAUCCAAAUGUUUGUUAGCCCAUCAAUUCUCUUCAAUUAAACAUGCUACAACUACAAGAGAAGCAGUGAUUAAUUCGUAUCAUGCCCGUCGGGCACAAUCAGUUAUCCGUGGAUCACAUAGGGUGGUUUGCGGUCUGUCUUGGGCCAUCAUUGUGUUUAGCCCAAAUCAGGUGCAUGCAAAUUAGAAUUUUCUUAAAUAAAAAUACAAGGCACAAAUCAAAUUCCUGCAUCUAAAUUGGCAAGAUAUCCAGCUCUUGCCUUUAGAUGCUUUAUCCGACGAUGUUUAUGGCAGUUUCGGACUCCAAAUAGUGAAUUUACCAACUCUUUAUGAGGAGAACAUCAUAAAAGCAUUCCAUUUUGGUUGUCCUAAGCAUUCAACAUAUCACUACACCAUCAGAGUACUGAGGCCACAACCGAUGUGGUCUUGCAGCAUCCUAUGUAUAAGAACUGAAAAACAUUGUAGUAUCACCAGUAAAACCAUACUGAAACGCUAAUGUGUUACAUUCUUGGGAAGGUUGCGGAUGACGUUACUCUUCAUGCCAAUCUUGGAACGCAUAGCCUCCACGC
rnacentral:lncRNA from 1 species